rnacentral:lncRNA from 1 species
CUAGCUUCUCUUUCCAAAAGCAUGGCGUGCACUGUCCUUUCAUUGCUAGACCACAUCUUGAUCACUGUAUUGCUCGUCCUCGCUCGCGACAUUAUCAUAGCCGGUGUUGGCAUAGCUCCACCUCCCACUCCUCUACCUCUUCCACGGCUACGUGCACCCUCUCCGACACCUCGUCCUCCCAGUCUUGGGUCUCCUCCUCGCACUCCUCUUCUUCCUCCCCCUCGGACAAGCACUCCACCUCUAAAUCCUCUUCCUCGUCCAUGGUUGAGGGCACCUUCGCCAGCUCCUAUUCCUACACGGCUAGGAGCUCCAACUCGUACUCCUAUUCUUCCUUCUCCUAAGGUAGGUGCUCCACCACCUACACCUAUUCCUCCUAUUCCUCGGUUUGGGGCUCCCUCCCGUGGUCCUAUCCUUCCACCCCCUCGAAAGGGUGUUCCACCUUCUACUACUCCACUUCCAGCACCACGAUUAGGGGCACCUCUCCCGUCCCGUCGUCCUUGUCCUCCACCUAGCGCUCCUAUACUUCCUCCCCGUCAGAAAGGCGCUCCACCUUCCACUCAUCCACUUCCUACACCAAAAUUAGGGGCACCCCUCCCAUCCACUCCACUUCCUCCACCUCGUGCUCCUGUCCUUCCUCCCCGUCGGAUGGGCACUCCACCUUCCCCUCCUCCACUACCUGCACCAAGAUUAGGGGCACCUCUCCCAUCCCCUCUUAGACCUCCAUCUCGUGCUCCUGUAGUUCCUCCCCGCCGAAAGCGCAAGCCACCUCCUACACCACGUUCUAAGGCACCCAUUCCAUCUCCUGUUAUUCCGCCCCCUCGAAAGGGCGCUCCACCUUCCCCUCUUCCACAACCCGCACCAAGAUUAGGGGCACCCCUCCCAUCCCCUCUUAAAGCUCCAUCUCGUGCUCCGGUACUUCCUCCCCAGCGAAAGCGCACCCCACCUCCUGCACGACGUUCUAAGGCACCCAUUCCACCUCCUGUUGUUCCUCGCCCUCGAAAGGGCAGUCCACCUUCCAGUCCAAUUCCUGCACCAUGGUUGGGGGUACCCCUUCCAUCUCGUCCUCUUCUUCCCCCUCGCGGACCUACUUUUCCUUCACCUCGGAGGGGCACUCCGCCUUCCCCUCCUCCACUUCCUACACCUCUUCUUCCUCCAGCUCGUGCUCCUUUAUAGAAAAUCUUUUUGUCUAAGGAAUCAUGAAGGCAGCACCAAUCUCUUCUGAAACAAUAAGAUAGCAACAACAGCAAUAUCUUCAUUCAACUCGUCAAAAUAGUUCUAGAAGCCAAAGAUUGAAUCUCAGCUGGAUGGGUUUGCGUUUGCUACAGUGCCAUAGGGUCCCAUCGGCCACAAGAAAAUCAUGUAAUAAAUACAACUAUUUUGUUUGUGGGGUGUGUAAUAAAUUGGUAAGCCUAGGCUUACUACUCCUAUGUAUUUCAACACUCCUUGCAAUAGCGAUUUGAUUUGCUCAAUUAGCCAUCAUGGAUCUGUUUGCAACUCAUCAUCCUUCUCUAUUUGUCAUUGUUUGUUGCUUCCUCGGUGUGUUUUUAUUUUAACACAUGGGCACACAAAGAAGCUGUCCAUUUCUUUCAAAGCAAGAAGAAUUUGCAAAACAGCCCCUUAGUUGGAAAAACUUGUACAUGACUAAAAUAGUGUAGAUAGAUGUUGGAAGAUAUAUUUGUUGGUUCUUUUCCAUCAAAAUUUUAAUUUCCCAUAAAAUUAUAAGGAUGUAUGAUGUGAAUUGUGACUGUGGAUUCUUUCUCGGGAGCGCCAAAUAACAUCCACCUCUCAAACUAAUUAACGCAAAGAUGUGCUCCAGCCAACGGUGGAUUUUUGCCCUAGGCUUGACACAAAACAUCUGUUUACUCCACUGGGUUUUUUUGGCCUAAUCCGUAUGCCCUAGCCAUCAUGCUUGCAAUAAUCAUAUCCCACCACCUGCCCAACAAUUAAUUAACCAUCCGUCUACCCCAACAAUGCUUGAAGUAAUCCCCUAGUGCCGCCAAAUUAAGGAACCAAAUUGAUCAAUCGAGGAGUAGAGCGGCGAAAUCAAAGGGUGACACCGGCAAUAAUGUAAUUGAAGGGGAGGCUGUCAGUAGGCAGCCUAGCAGGUAGUACCGUACCAGCCAAUGUUGCCACGUUGCCCACUCAUUCGGGAGGCAAGCAGGACAGGUACGGUGCAGUAUAAGAGCACUCCCAAUGCAAAAACCAUUGUGGUUUCUAUAGACAUUAAUUGCAAUGUCACCUAUGCAUUUUGCUGAUGUGGCAAUAUAGUUAUUGAAGAGAGAGAGAGUAAAAAUCAUAGAAACUGAGUCUAAGUUAGAAACCAUGUCUACACAAAAUCGAAGACAUGAAGUGAUAUGAUUGGCUAAGAAUGGAGAGAGAAUGAAUGUGAUUGGACAUAAAAAUAUUCUAUAUAAACUAUCCAUUGGACCAUACACUGCUGUAGGAUUAGGCAUUAGCACCGAUCGGGAACGGCCUGUUGCCCCGGUUCCCGAGCUGGAUGGUAACACGUAAUUGGAUGUAUAAUGCCGAUCGGCGCUCCGAAGAGUUCAUUAAUGGUGUGCACUAUUUCUUAAGUGUGGCCGAGACAAAUAAGAGGGACGGUUUCAUGUGCUGUCCAUGUGUCGUGUGCAAGAAUUUGACGGAAUAUUCUAACUCAAGAACUCUUCAUUCGCACUUACUAAAGUCUGAUUUCGUACCAAACUAUAUUUGUUGGACCAAAUAUGGAGAAAGCGGGAUUAUAAUGGAUGAAGGUGAAGAAGAAGAAGAAGAAUUGGAUCAUGCCAAUAUUAUUGCUCAGUACGGUGGCUUCAAUGAUGUUGCAAUGGGGGAGAUAAUGAAGAAGAGGUAGCGACAGAAGAUGAUCGGGGCGAUGAUGCUUUUGGUGAUGCCAUCCGUGAUGCACAAAGAGAAUGUGAAAGUGAUAAAGAGAAAGUCAAGUUCGAGCGCAUGCUAGAGGACCAUAGAAAAUCGCUAUAUCCCACCACUGAAGAGGGGCAAAAAAAGCUGGGUACCACACUGGAAUUGUUGCAAUGGAAGGCAAAGAAUGGUACAUCUGACAAGGCAUUUGGGCAGUUAUUGAAGAUCAUAAAAAAGAUGCUUCCGAAAGGCAACGAAUUGCCCACCACUACGUAUGAAGCAAAACAGGUUGUCUGCCCUUUGGGAUUAGAAAUCUAGAAGAUACACGCAUGUCCUAAUGACUGCAUCCUCUACCGUGGGGAGGAAUACGAGAAUUUGGAUGCAUGUCCGGUAUGUAAGGCAUCACGGUAUAAGAUUAGAUGAGAUGAUCCUGGCGAUGUUGAGGGUGAAGAACGUCAUAGGAAGAAAAUUCCUACCAAGGUUAUGUGGUAUGUUCCUAUAAUACCACGAUUUAAAUUAACGUCUGUUCAGAAAUAAGGACAAUGCAAAGUUGUUGCGGUGGCAUAAAGAAGACCGUAAGACAGACAAUAUGUUGAGACACCGUGCCGAUGGAUCCCAGUGGAGAGCGAUAGACAAAGAAUUCCCAGAUUUUGCAGAUGAUGCUAGAAACUUGCGGUUCGCCUUAAGUACAGAUGGUAUGAUUCCUUUCGGUGAGCAGAGCAGUAGUCACAGCACUUGGCCAGUUACUCUAUGUAUUUACAACCUUCCUCCAUGGCUAUGCAUGAAGCGGAAGUUUAUUAUGAUGCCGGUGCUUAUCCAAGGACCGAAGCAACCUGGCAAUGACAUAGAUGUCUACCUAAGGCCAUUAGUUGAGGAACUUCAACUUUUAUGGAGCAAACCAGGAGUUCGCGUGUGGGAUGAGUACAAACAAGAGCCCUUUGACCUGCGAGCAUUGCUGUUUGUAACAAUCAAUGAUUGGCUAGCUCUGAGUAAUCUUUUAGGCCAGUCAAACAAGGGAUAUAAUGCAUGCACACAUUGUUAUGAAGACCUUGACUGUGUAUUUUUGAAAAAAUGUCGAAAGGUCAUGUACCUUGGCCACCGUCGGUUUCUUCCUGUGAACCACCCAGUACGAAAGAAAGGCAAGCAUUUUAAAGGCAAGGCAGACCACCGGACCAAACCUCUCAAUCGAACCGGGGAUGAUGUACUCGAAAUGGUCAAGGAUAUAAAAGUGGUAUUUGGAAAGGGGCGAGGCAGCGAACCUAUUUCCAAGGAUGCUAAGGGACACGUACCCAUGUGGAAGAAGAAAUCCAUAUUUUGGGAGCUACCUUACUGGAUUGUCCUAGAGGUCCGCAACGCGAUCGACGUGAUGCAUCUGACAAAGAAUCUUUGUGUGAACUUGCUCGGAUUCAUGGUUGUCUACGGGAAGUCUAAGGAUUCACUUGAAGCACGACAAGACUUGCAGCGCAUGAAAGAACGAGACAACCUGCAUCCAGAAAAGACAGAUGAUGGACGUCAUUACUUAAGCCCUGCUAGCUACACUCUGAGCAAAGAAGAGAAGGAAAGCAUGUUUGAAUGUCUUAGCAGCAUCAAGGUCCCAUCUGGAUUCUCCUCCAAUAUCAAGGGAAUAAUUAAUGUGCCAGAGAAGAAAUUCCUGAACUUGAAGUCCCAUGACUGUCACGUUCUAAUGACGCAAUUGCUGCCGGUGGUUUUAAGAGGAAUUUUACCUCCACACGUACGUCUAGCCACCGUAAAGCUAUGUGCAUUCCUCAAUGCAAUUUCUCAGAAGGCAAUCAAUCCAGAGCAACUAGCUACUCUGCAGAAUGAUGUCAUUCAAUGUCUUGUCAGCUUUGAGUUGGUGUUCCCUCCAUCCUUCUUCGAUAUCAUGACACACCUCCUAGUUCAUCUGAUCAAAGAGAUUCGUAUUCUCGGUCCUGUGUUCCUACACAACAUGCUCCCCUUCGAGAGAUUCAUGGGUGUCCUAAAGAAAUAUGUCCAUAGUUGUUCCCGCCCAGAAGGAAGCAUUGCCAAGGACUACGGAACAGAGGAGGUCAUAGAGUUCUGUGUUGACUUUAUUCCAGACCUUGACCCAAUUGGCAUUCCUGAAUCUCGACACGAGGGCAGACUCAGCGGAAAGGGAACACUUGGGAAGAAAACAUAUAUUGGUACGGGAGACGAUUACUUAAUAAAGCACACUACACAGUUCUCCAGAACUCCUCAUUGGUGGAACCAUAUGUUGAGGUACACAAAGAUUUCCUACGGUCCCAGUGGCCAGGGAAGAAUGAAGCUUGGAUAAUGCGUCAGCACAUGGAAACUUUUGGCGAUUGGUUGCGCAAAAAAUAUCAAGGUGAUGAAAACAUUGAUGAGCAGCUUUAUUUGUUGGCCAGGCAACCAUCAUGGCAUGUCCUCACGUACAAAGGGUACGAGAAAAAUGGUAACACAUUUUACACAGUUGGCCAAGAUAAAAGGAGCACCAACCAAAAUAGUGGUGUACGCGUGGAUACCACGGAUCCAAAUGGAAACAGACAAACAUAUUAUGGACGCAUAGAAUACAUAUGGGAACUAGUCUAUGCAGCUAAUUUUAAAGUUCCUUUGUUCCGGUGCCAAUGGGUGAAGAUGACCGGAGGUGGGGUAACAGUCGACAAGGAGUAUGGGAUGACAACCGUGGACCUUAACAAUAGUGGGUUCAAAGACGAACCAUUCGUCCUUGCUGCAGACGUGAGUCAGGUGUUCUAUGUCAAAGAUAUGUCUACGAAACCAAAGAGAGGAAAAAAUGAUGACCACUCAAUCAUCAAUGAGCCAAAGCGCCACAUUGUCCUUUCUGGGAAAAGAAACAUUGUCGGAAUUGAGGACAAGUCAGACAUGUCAGGCGAUUACGAAAGGGAUGAUCGAAUUCUGCCCUUCAUAGUCAACAAAGACCCAAGCAUUCUGUUGAACAAUGAGGAUACUCCAUGGUUAUGGCAGGAUCAUAACCAAGGGUCAUACGUCAAGAAGAAGUUCACUGUUGUGUCGGCUUAACAUAAAGUCAUGUUUAAUAGUAUGUGUUGUAAAAUGUACGAAUUCUGAGAAUUGUAUGAAACUAUAUUUGAGAAUUGUGAAUUUUGAUGAGUAUAUCAAACUUUGUAUUCAUGACUUUUUAUAUACACAAUUUUUCCAUUUGAGAAAGUUUAAGUUAACAAUACCCACCAAAUCUUGAAUCUCACACAAACUAUAUGAAACUAUAUGUGUCAAUUGUGGAUUUUCAACUACACCUUCCCAAAAUUUUGUCAAAUGCAAAAAUGGUCUAUAUAUGAAAUGUAGAUUUAGAUGAGUGGAACAAUAUUGGUAUUCAUGACUUUUCCAUUCGAGACCAUCUAGGGUUACGAAACCGCUGCGUGGCUAUGAAUUAUCUGAAAAUUCAAAAUUCAAUGGUUCAAACUUUUCCAAAUGAAAAGUUGACCAUUAGACAAAAUGUAGAACUUGAUGAGUGUAAUAAACUUUGUAAAAAUGACUUUUCCAUUUGGGACCAUCUAGGGUUCGGUCAAAGGGUGUUUUCGUAAAAACCAAUGCUUUGAUUUUGGUCAAACUUGAUCAAAUGGCCCAUUUGAUGACUUCAAAUGAAACAAUUUUGAAUACAAAGUUGUUAGAGAUCAUCAAGAUCAACAUUUUAUAUAUUGUCCAUUUUUCCAUUUGGAUAAUUUUGAGCCAAUCCUGAUCACAUUUCUAUAAAAUCCAAGACGAGUUUUGGUCAAACUUGGUCAAAUGACAAACUAAACUACUUAAAAUGAAAAAAAUUUGAAUACCAAGUUGUUAGAUAUCAUCAAGAUCUAAACUUUUUAUAUACACAACUUUUCCAUUUGAGAAAGUUUAAGUUAACAAUACCCACCAAUUCUUGAAUCUCACACAAACCAUAUGAAACUAUAUGUGUCAAUUGUGGAUUUUCAACUACACCUUCCCAAAACUUUGUCAAAUGCAAAAAUCAUCUAUAUAUGAAAUGUAGAUUUUGAUGAGUGGAACAAUAUUGGUAUUCAUGACUUUUCCAUUCGAGACCAUCUAGGGUUCCGAAACCGCUGCGUGGCUAUGAAUUCUCUGAAAAUUCAAAAUUCAAUGGUUCAAACUUUUUCAAAUGAAAAGUUGACCAUUAGACAAAAUGUAGAACUUGAUGAGUGUAAUAAACUUUGUAUUCAUGACUUUUCUAUUUGGGACAAUCUAGGGUUCGGUCAAAGGGUGUGUUCAUUAAGAUAUAUAUUUUUGUAUGAUAAAUAGAUUUUUUAUUUGAUGAAAACAAUACCCUACUAGCAUUCCGAGUAAUAAAUAACAAAAAUAAAAAGUUUAACGUCAAUAUGAUGUGAAAAAAUAUUUCCAGUUGAUUGGAUAUAGUUUUUGUAAAUUUAUUGGAAUAAUAUAUUUUUGCAUUAACAAAAUACUAAACAUUUCUUACAAAAUCAUUGCAAAUUAUAAAAAUAUAGUAAGAUAUUUAAGGUUAAAAAUUUUUAUGUGUACAUUAAAAACAAUUACAAUAUAUGUCACUGUUUAAAAAAUAUUAUGCAAAAUAUUUAAUUUAUUAUACAAUUUAUAAUAUAAACUGUAUAUAUAAACAAUUGAAAACCGUAAAGUAAAAAACAGGGUCUUUAGCACCGGCCCAUAGUGGGAACCGGUGCUAAAGGGUCCUGAAAAUUUUCAAGACCCCGCCCGAGCCCGCCUAGGACCCUUUAGCACCGGUUCGUGGCUGGAACCGGUGCUAAAGGGUCCCUUUAACACCGGCUGGUGUUACGAGCCGGUGCUAAAGGGUCCCCCUUUAACACCGGCGCGUAACACCAGCCGGUGUUAAAGGCCCUUUAGCACCGGUUCCAGCAACGGACCGGUGCUAAAAGGUCCGCCCCUAUAUAAGUGCACAGACGCCCUAGAUUUGAAGCAGUCUUCGUCUUCGUCGAGCAGAGAAGUUUCCUGCGCUGCCGGCCGUUCGUCUACCACGCGCGACUCGUCUCCAGCGCUGCCGCCGCCGUCUCCAGCGCCGCCGCCGCUGCCAGCGCCGCGGCUGCCGCGGCCAACUCCGGCCAUCUCUACACCGAGAACACAUCGAUCUCACGUAUACUCCACAACCGCCGUGCAUAUCAUAUCUCUAAAAAAAUAAAUAAAUAUAUAUGUAUAUUAAUUAAAUGUUAUUAUAUAUAUACACUAAAUCACACUGAAUUGUAUAUAUAUAGGUAUAUAUAUAUAUAUUAUAUACACUAAAAAAUAUAUUAUUCUAGUAACAGUUUUUAGUAUAUUAGUAUAUAAGUGUAGUGUUGACCUGUUAUAAAUUAUAUUAUGCUAUUAUAUAUUUGUAAUAUAUUAAUAUUAUUCUUGUAUUAUUUUGUAGUAUUAUUUUUUUAGUAUAUUAUUUGUAGUAGUAUUUUUUAGUAUAUAUUUGUAGUAUAUUAUUCUUGUAAUUAUUUUUGUAUCAUAUUUUAUUUUCUAGUGUUUUGUAUAUAUUAUUGUUUGUACUAUUAUUCUAGUAUUGUUUUGUAGUAUAUUAUUCUAGUGUAUUACUUGGCUUAAAAGAUUUUAGUAUUAUUUUUAGAGCACUCCAACACUUUCAUUUGUAGUAGUACUAGUAGUAGUAUAUAAGUCUCUAAUAUAUAUUCUAGUAGUGUUUACCCACCAAAUUUAUUCUAGUACUGUUUUGUAUAUAUUAUUGUUUGUACUAUUCUUCUAGUAUUGUUUUUUAGUAUAUUAUUCUAGUGUAUUACUUGGCUUAAAAGAUUCUAGUAUUAUUUUUAGAGCACUCCAACACUUUCAUUUGUAGUAGUACUAGUAGUAGUAUAUAAGUCUCUAAUAUAUAUUCUAGUAGUGUUUACCCACCAAAUUUAUUCUAGUAGUGUUUUGUAGAAAUGGCUGACCGUCCUCAGGAUGAUCCUGAUUAUAUGGAAGAUGCCAUUCAAAAUAUGAUCGACGACAGUAGUCAGUACUUUAUGGAUUACCACGAGAUCAUGCAAGGCAAUCCGACUGAGCAACAAGAGGGCAAUGCUCCUGAGCAACAAGAGGGCAAUGCGCCUGAGCAACAACUUGUCGUGCAACAAGAAGAAAAUACUGGCGAGGUAUAUGUAAAUGUAAACAUAUAUAAUUAAUGCAUCUCUUACAUUAGGUUUUAGACUUACUUGGUUAUUAAUUUAGUAUUUUUGUUUCUAUAUCUACGUUUAGCCUUCUGGAUCGACCUCUACGGGGAGAAGCGUACCUCCACGAGGACCAAAGAAGCCGUUGGAGGGCCGCUAUGUAAUCUCCGAGUUUGAUAUAGCUACACGCAGACCACUUGGUGAACAUGCAAAUAAAUAUGUUAGUCACUGUGGAUAUCUUGUGAGAGAUCAAAUACCGAUUAGUGCUCGUGAAUGGAGAGAGAAGCGAGGUGCUCCUGAGAUCAGUUUUGUCUCUGAUCGUGACAAGGAGUUAGUUUGGAAAGCCGUCACAGACGUUUUCACCUUCGACACCAACGAUGAAGAGUUGAAGGUGCGAAUUUAUGACUAGACUAUGAAGAAGAUGGCAGUACUGUUCCAGAAUUGGAAGAAGACUUUGUACAAUAAAUUUGUCAAGAAAAACGAGACUCCAAAUUUCAACCUCAAGCAAUAUGUAAAGCUGAGGGCCUUCUGGGAUGACUUCAUGCAAUACAAAACAUCAGAAGAGGGCGAGGAACGAGCCAUUAGAAACAAAGAGAAUGCAAGUAAAAAGACAUACUACCAUCAUAUGGGAUCAGGUGGUUAUAAGAGUGCUGUUCCCAAGUGGGACCGACUGGAACAGGAGAUGCUUGCUAGGGGGGUCACACCCGAGACAAUAGCAAAGAAUUGGAGCGAGCGCUCCAAGCAUUGGUUCUACGGUCAUGGGGGAAGCGUGGAACCACACACCGAGGCGCUAGUUUGGGGCCAAGAAAUCUCUAGAGCAGCAGAGAGACUAGUCCGUGCACGAGAGGCGGUUCAGUCUAGUGAGUUCAGGCCUAACAGGGAGAAGGAUGAACUCACCUAUGCGCUUGAAAAUCCUAAGCACGGUGGGCGUACGAGAGGCUAUGGGGCAGUUCCGUGGCUGCAAUCAUUCCAAGCCGAUCAAGAUACCUACAGAAGCCGCCAGAGAAAGAAGGAUGAGGAGGCAGAGCGGAUCUGCCGCCUGGAAGCUUUUGUUCUGCAAUCAGAAGAGCACGAGAAAGCUCGUGAAGAAUGGAUGCAGGCGGAGAUUCAAAGGCAAGUGCAAGCAGCACUUAGUCAAAUGACGAAAGGGCAAGGUACAUCACAGCCUGAGGUCAACGUUAGCCCCCCAGGCCAGUUGAAAAGCAGCUGCGCAUCCACGGAAGUACCAACCAUUCAGGAUGACAUGAAGCUACACUUCUCCGUGGAUGAUGUCAUAGAGGCUUUUACUACCUGUGAGCUGCAUGUACCCGAUGGGAAUACAACAAAAAAGGUGGCUAUCGCUGUUGUCAACCCUAUCGACCGAACGAGAACUCCAAGAAUCCAUAAUCGACCAGUACCUGGUGGAUAUGCUAGCAUCUCGGUUGAUAGGGUUGAGAAAGGUUGUGGCAAUGUGCCUCUAGACAUAGAAGGGGGAGACGGAGAGAAGACCUUAGGUGAAGCUGAGAAGACAUUUAUUUGUUGGCGCAAGCGCUUCAUAAUUAUUCCUCAACAUAGGUUUGUGUGUGAUUUUACUUCUUAUAUUAUUUAUUAUGUAUUGAAAUUAAAAAAAAGUUUGCUCACAAAACUUGUAAUUGUUUUCUUUGCAGGGACUCCUCCAACCUAAGUCCAGUUCUCUCUCCAGCGCAUCAUAGUGCUGCGGGCGGUGAUAAUGCUGGAUCUCCUCCAACACCUGCGGCGGCCACACCGACCCCGCCACCGCCUCCACCAUGGUCUCCACCUCCUCCACCAAGGUCUCCAACUCCUCCACCGCGUUCUCCAACACCGAAAAGAUCGGCCCCACCACCUCCACCGCCUGCACCGCCCUCUCCAAAGAGUGCACGGUCGGUCCCCUCGCCUCCAAAGUGAGGUAGUCAGAAGCGGUCCGCCCAAGAACGACUGAAGUCAUCGGUCCCACCUCCAAAGACAGCUGCCUCAGCAAAGAGAGCUAAGACACCAGAAAAAUUACCUUACGAAAAGAGUGAAGAGGAGGUAAUUGCUGCAUCCAAAGCUGAGGUGAAACAUUUUUUUGAUAAAUUGAAGGAGGAUAAAAAAACGGCUAAACCUAGAAAAGCCGUACUUUUAUGUAAAGCCAUCGGAACUGAGGCAUAAGGUGGCGGACCAGCAAAAGAAGCAACAUGAAGCUCAGAAAAAGCCAGCACUUUCGGACUAUGAGCGGUCUCUGGUCAAGUCUUCACAGCCUAGGAAGAGAGUAGGAAAGAGGGUCCCAUAGCUCGGAGAAGUAUCAAAACCGGUGCCCCCUUUGAUUGUGCCAAAUCAAUACGGCUCAAAUGAAGAGUUGAUGCCAAAGAAAUCCUUAGCGUUGUCUGAGCUAGACUCGCUUGAGCGUUACUUUGGACAGAGCGGUUUAAAUAUGAAAGAACUUGCCGCCAUUCUUGGAUGCCAAACAUUUGAAAAAGCCGAGGUAGUUGAUCAAUGGAGGGUAAGAUAUGAACGGGGCAAGAGUCUAUUCGACCCUUAGUGUUUACAUGAGCUCGGCACACAAAUGUUUGCAAUAAACAAAUGGUGCAUUGAGGCGUCUAAAAGGGGAGAGAAUUGGAUUUCUGUUCGUAUUAGACAACAUCACUACUUCCGUGAAGAUGACCUCAUAUACGUGCAGUUCGAAGAAUUGCACCAAUUAUGUCACCUCGACGCUCUCGACAAAUCUCUUGUCAGCUGCUUUUGUCUGCAAGUAUUUUUUUCUUUUUAUUAUACUUCUAACUUCUUUAAUUACAUGUAUAUAAUCCUUACAUACUUAGGAUUUGUAUGUAUAUAUGCAGACACCAAAUGAGAGAGCUCAGAAUCAGUAAUGACAAUAGUAUUGGGUUCGUUGACCCUUAUAUUGUUUUCAAAGCUCCGCAGGCAGUGUGGACAGCAGCUCAUGAGACAGAAGUCUGCACCAAUCUUAUGAGGUUCUUUGUGAACCAAAAAGAAAAACAAAAAAUACUCUUCCCCUUCAACUUCGAGUGAGUUAUAUAGUUAUUAAGUGCAUGCAUAUUUUAUUUUAAUAAUUAUUACUCGAGACAAGUUUUAUAUAGUUAUAUAUAGGCCUGACUAUAUAUAUGUGUAAACAGCUUUCAGUGGAUACUCAUAGUCAUUGAAAUUCCCAAGAACCGGUUGAUAAUCUUUGACUCAAUGAGAAAACCACAAGAAAAUUAUCAACAAAUGGUAAACAUUAUUCAAAGGUACGUAAUGUCGAUCUCAGCUAGAAGAAUAUCAUAAUAUGACUCUGUAAUUAUUAGUUCACGAUCCACAAUGGCUGUGUGUAGGGUUUGGAAAAGAUUCAUUGACCGUGAACAUCUCAGUGGAUGUAAAGCGCCGCUUAACAUAAUACAUCCACAAGUAAGUUCUACUAGCUAGCAAACUUUCGCUAACUUUUAGCCUUUUUAUUGUCGUGGUCGUGAAUAUUUUUUAUAUAUAUGUAUCGUACAGUGGUGUUUAAGACAAGAGGGGGGAACAAUCUAUGUGCAUAUUACGUGUGCAAAUUCAUGAUGGCACAAGUCAAUCAAACACCCACAGAGGCGCUCAGGGUACGUUACAUCAUUAUCUCCUGAAUUAUAUUGAAUAACUUAGAUAACUAAUAUCUUUUUUAUUUAUUUCAAAUUAAAGACGGAAUGGUUGAGGGAAAAGGUCAUACAAAAAGACCGAAUCAAAGCUAUCCAAGAGACGAUAGCAUGAUUUCUCCGCGAGCAAGUGAUCAAUCCAAACGUGGAGUUUCACUUCAACGGCAACGAAACUCUUAUUCCAAACAACGAUGAUCAUUUGUAUCGUUUGUAGACAUUGGGAGAAAAAACUCUAGGUAUAUAUGUGUUACGAAUUUUGUACAUAUAAAACUAUAUAUAUAUAUAUAAAGCUUUUUACAUAUCUAUUUAAUUUUUGAUGUGGCCUAUUCAUUUUAUUAUAGGCAAAGCUUAAUUAUUAAGCUAAGCCUAUAAUUUUCAUUUAUAUAUGGUUAAUAUGCGUGUAAUAUAAAUAUAUUAUUAUAUCAGCAAAACAUGUAUUGAAAACCUAUUAUUAUAUAAAAACAAUAAACAGAACCGAAGAAGUGAACCAUAAAAAAAACCCUUUAACACCGGUUCUGCAACGUGGCAGCCCUGGCAGGACCCUUUAACACCGAUUGGUAUUACCAACCGGUGUUAAAGGAGGGGCUUUAGCCACGGUUGCCCGAAUCGGGACUAAAGGGUGGGCAUUUACUAGUAAACAUGUAUGAUUAAAGAAGAAUCUAAUAAUAUCCUUUAUUUGUCUAGUUACUUCAACAAAUCUUCUACAUUAUACAAUGGACAUUAUGUAGUAAUAAAAAUAAAUCAAGUGAUAUUAACAAACCAAAUAAUUUGAACUAUCCUACUUUCUAAGAUCAUAAAAAGAUACUAUAAUUCAUUCUUGCAAACUACAUUAAUACUAGGUCAACCAUGAAAUAUGAUAUAUAUAUAUAUGGAUACUAAUUUAUGUGAAUGAUUCAAAAUAACAAAGUGAAUUUGAGCUAAAAAUAAUGGGAACAUCACAAGCCAAAAACAACAUGAAAAAGACAAGAAAGACAAAAGUUAGUCACCUCCAAACACGAAGAAACGAUGACGGAGUCGAGAUCAACGAUGGGCGUCGGAGAUGAAGAACAAAUGAGGAAGAAGAAGCUCCAAGAACAACAAUGGUGAAUGGUGCUCUCGGUUUCAAAUGGGCAGAGAGGAGGAGGGAUCCGGCCUAUAAACCGGACCUUUAGCACAGGUUCAGGGCAAAAACCGGUGCUAAAGGGUGACCCUUUAGCACUGGUUUGUGUUACAAACCGGUGCUAAAGGCUUUGCCUCGGCCCGUGGCGCUGGCCGGUGCUAAAGGGGUCUUUACCCCCGGGCCAAAAAAAGGCCGAGGUUUUUGGCCAUUUUGGGCAUGGACCAAUGCCUCAUUUUGUAGUAGUGAUAGUUUUUAUAUAUAGUGUCUAUAAAAAUUAAUAGGUAUAGAAACUAUAUAUAGUUUCUAGCAGGGAGUGCCCUAAUAGGAAUAGUCAUUGUACGUGCACGGCUACGACCAGGUUCCUAGAAGGUUACUUAUAUGGUUUUGUUUAUUAAUUAUGCUGUUAAUUGCUAUAUUUUUCAUGUUGUAUUUAUGCAGUAAUUUUGUAGAAUUUUAUAUUUCACACAAUAAACUAUACAGCAUUGGCUCUAGCGUACAAAUUCAUCAUAUCGGCUCUGCCACCAUGCGCUGGCUGCAACUGGGCAUGCUUGCUAGUGAAGGCACAAAUUCCUACUCAUGCUCGUUACUGCCGCAGCCAUUAAUUUACGGUUUAGAGCGACUCUACCGAAAUGAAAAAAACUUAAUUCUUCCCUAUAUUUCUUUUAUCGGGUAUAUUUUGAAUGCACAUAACUCAUACACUCUAGACUCACAUACACGCGUGCGCCUCUGUAUGAAUGCAAAGAAAAAACAUGUAGUACGACUAAACAAGCAAGCGUGUUUAUACCCUAAAUUUUCUAGAAAAAAAAUAAUAAAAAGGUGCGACCCUAGCGUAGCGUCCAACUAGACAGUCCUAUGACUCGAUUACUGGCCCAUCCUUUGGUUACGUUCAGGUUUAAAAAUAGGCUCGUUGAAGCAGAUUCAGAAAAUCUUCAUCCUUUACUUUAGGCUGUACUGUUUGCUAGUUUAUUGUAAGAUAAAAAUAUUGUUAAAUUAUUAAUAGUAGAUUGGGCUGAUAAGCUCAAGUGACCAAUGCAUAGGUCAUAAGAAUUCUCUCUAUCCUUUUUUUCUCCCUCUCUUAUCACGCCACCUACUCGCUAGCUCCGUGCGGCCGCAUGAUCCCCACAUGGAAUCUUGGUGUGGCGAUGAAAACUUGUGCAGACACUCAAUGCUAUGGUAUGGAACCUGGGUACCUGACUUAAGUGACGGCCUGUAUGACACUACAUAUUUAAUUGUUCUCAAGCAAAGUCACCAAAAAUGUAUGUUGAUACAAAGAAGCGAUCACACAUAACAUAAUAGCGCUAGAGUAGCAGAUCAGUGAGCCCUCGUUGAGAAUACAUGUACUGGUCAAUCCAGUAUUGACAAAAACAUGCAUGCAUGACAAUCCAGCACGACAUUCCAAUAAACCCUCAACAAGAACCCAUGCACAUGUUGGACCAUCCAGUGUUUCAUGCUAUGAAUUGCACACUGGAAACCUAUGAACACCUUCUAGAAAGGACGUGGGGGAAUGAACCUAGAGUUGUUGUAGGAUUGGCAUAUCCAGCUAGAACAUCCGCAAACUCUGAUCCAUCGAGAAGCUUGUAGAUGACAAUGGAUAUAGACACCGUACCCAACGAGCUAGCAUUUGGAAAAGCUAGGUAGUAAUAUAUUGGUUUUAAUUUUUUAUUGGAUCACUCAAUCGGAUGACCCUUAAUAUUUAAAGGGUGGGAGGUCUAUCCUAGAGGUGUCUGAAUACAUCAUGAAGAAAACUGAUCAAAAUCAAACAUAAAGAAGAAAUUGACACUACGUGAAAAACUUAGUAAGAGAGCGCCCCUCCCACACUGUAGGGGCGGCUAACAUUUGAACCGCCCUUACAGUGGGUGGGCAGGUAACUAGGGAGUGAACCGUCCUUGCAGUGUUCUCUGUAGGGGCAGUUGGUGUUACCAGCCAGCCUUACAGUGGGGGAGGCACUGUAGGGUAACACCAGCCGCCCCUAUAGUGGUCUGUAGCAUAAGUGGCCAGCCCACUCUUCUUCCUCCCCGAGUCACUCACUUCCACUCGCAAAAAAAAGCUUGGGAGGCCUUGGGCACCUCCCUAAAAUCACUCUAGUAAGGGGGGAGGUUUUGAACUUAAAUCCUUUGGUGGGGAGCUUGUUUAAGGUAAGAAACUUCUAUUCCCACCCUCUAAUCCAAGUCUUAUUGGUUGGUUAGUGAGCAAUUUACAUUUUGGUUUUCUCUCUCUUCCAUAGAGCUUGAGCUUUGUGUUGACCAAAUUAGAGCUUAUCUAUGAUGCUAUUAGUGUAUAAUAGGUAGAGACACCACCUUGCACCAUCAAUUUGGUGAUAUAGCUUGAUUUUAAUGGAGAUUAAUUGUAGUUUCAUGUAUGGAGAGAAAAGGCAUUCUAGAUCUAGGGUUUCCUUUUUUUGUUUUUGUUUCAUAAAAUUGGAAUGUGGUUGGCAUGAAUAGUUAUUGGUAAACUAAUAGUUGUCGCUAAUAUUAAUUGUUUCUAAUAAUGGUAGAUAAUAACUGGUAUUAUUAAUUAUGUCUAAUUAUCAUUUCUAACACAAUUAUUACUAAUAAUGAUAGCUAAUAAUUGUUGCUAAUAAUGGUAGAUAAUAAUUGUUACUUAUUAAUUGUUGCUAAUAAUGGUAGAUAAUAAUUGGUACUAUUAAUUAUGUCUAAUAAUCGUUUCUAACACAAUUAUUGCUAAUAAUGAUAGCUAAUAAUUGUUGCUCAUAAUGGUAGAUAAUAAUUGUUACUUAUUAAUUGUUGUUAAUAAUUAUUCUCAACUAAUUCAUUUUUUUUAUUUAUGUAAAGAUGGAGAAUAGGGCUACUUGGAUGUAUGGUUUGGCAAGGUACUCGCAAGCCUAUGUUGAUGAGGUGGACAAAUUUAUUCCAAUCACGGUGAAUCAUGCAAAGACGUUGUGAGCAGGAAAUAAUUGUUCAGUUAUUUGUCCCUGUAAAGAUUGCAAGAACCACUUAGCAACUUAUGAUGUGGAAAUCAUCAGAUCACAUCCGAGUAUGGCUCCAUCAUGGUGAAGUAAUGUUUCUUGACGGCAACGAUGAUGACCAAGAAGACGAUGCUGAAGAAGGCCAAUUGUUGUCCCAAUACACAGACAUGUUUGAAGCAUAAAUGCAACAUGAUUCAGCCAAUGAACAAGCACGUGGUGAUGUUGCCGGUGGUGUCGACAAUAAUGAUGGGGAUGUUGGCGGUGUUGACAAUAAUGAUGCGGGAGCAUGUGAGGGGGAUGCAGAAAACUUUGACAACUUAGAGGAAAUGCUUGGGGCCAUUGGACCAGAAAUACUACAACAGAAGAAGAAGGGUCUAGAAAAUCUAGAGCGGGUGAAAUUAGCGUCAAAGGAGACUAUGCAUGGUGUUGAGAAGGGUUGUCCAACACACUAGACACUGCUCCGUUUUGUGCUUGAGCUACUCAUCCUAAAGGCUAAGUACGGCUGGUCAGACUGCAGUUUUGACGAUUUGUUGCAUCUUCUGUCAUCUGUGCUGCCACUGCCGAACUUAGUUCCCUCCAACACAUACCAUGCUAAGAAGGUCAUAAGUCCAUUGACAAUGGGCGUUGAAAAGAACCAUGCAUGCCCCAACCAUUGUAUCCUUUUUCGUGGUAAACCGUUCGAAGGUCUGGAUAAAUGUCCUCGUUGUGGGGCAAGUCGGUACAAGGACAAUGACCUUUACAGUGGUAGAGAAGCCUCCACCGGGAACAAGAGGAAUAAGAAGGGUUCCAAAAAGGUGGUACAAGAAUCUCGACCUCUAGAGGACACCCCAUUAGGCAACAACACAAAGAAGAGAAAAAUUCCUACCUUGGUAAUGUGGUAUCUGCUAGUGACCGACCACUUGAGGCGUAUUUUCCUGAACCCUAAGGAAGCCGCGCUCAUGACAUGGUGGGACGAUGAGCGCAAGGUCGAUGACAAUGUGAUUGCACACCCGACCGAUAGCAGUCAGUGGCAGGACUUCGAUAAUAACAACCCACUGUUUAGUUCGGACCCAAGAAAUGUACGGUUUGCCUUGAGCACCGAUGGAAUGAAUCCCUUCAACGAGAGGAUGAGCAACCAUAGCACUUAGCCAGUGAUCUUGACCAUGUACAACAUCCCAAUGUGGUUGUGUCGGAAGAGAAAACAUAUUUUCCUCACUAUUCUUGUUUCUAGCCCUCAGCAACCAGGCUUUGAUAUGGACGUGUUCCUCGAGCCUGUGAUGGAAGAAUUCAAGAAACUAUGGAGGACAGGGGAGCUGAUGUAUGAUGCAUUCCAAAAGGAGACCUUCACAUUAAGAGCAAUAAUAUUUGUGACUAUCAACGACCACCCUACGUUGUUUGCCGUGUCUGGACAAAUCAAAGGCAAGAUGGGAUGCUUAGUCUGUCUGAAUGAUACUAAAUGGGUGUACCUAGAUGGAUCUAAGAAGACUGUUUACAUCAGGAAUCGUCACUUUUUAAAGCAAGGUCACAAGUACCGCAGCAAACUGUACUUAAAGUAUUUUGGCAACAUCCCAGAGGAUGAAGAUCGACCUCCGGAGAGAUGUCAUGAUGGACAAUAUGUGUUCCAAAUGGUGAAAAUAUAAGCCUCAUCUAUGGAAAGAAGAAAAUGGAUGGAACACCUAGAGAUAGAAGCACACCUCCAAUUGAAGGCAUGCCUUUUAAGAAAAAGUCAAUCUUCUUUCAGUAUCUUGAAUAUUGGCCACAAUUGGAGGUCCCCCAUGCCAUUGAUGCUAUGCAUGUGCAGAAGAAUGUCUUUGAGAGUCUCAUCGCUACCUUGAUGCACACACCGAAGUCAAAGGAUAGUCUCAAAGCAAGGAGAGACAUGGAGCAGCUACAUGUGAUGCUAGAGCUUCACCCGGUACUUGAGACAAAAACUGGAAAAUACACCCUACCCGCGGCUAGCUACAACCUAUACCUAGAAUAGAGGAGAGGUUUAUGCACUUCUGUGAAGGGGAUCAAAGUCCCGACUGGGUUUUCAGCAAACCCGAAGAAUCUAGUGUCGAUGAAGGACCUGUCAUUUCCACAUUGCAAGGCUCAUGAUUGUCAUAUGAUGCUGACGGUGUUCCUACCAAUCGUAAUAAGGGCUAUCAAGCCAGAGUUUUUGAAGAUGGCUAUCACCCGCAUGUGCUACUUCUGGUCGAAGAUCUCACAGAAGAAGAUUAGCAAGACAGAGCUGAGUGACCUACAAGAUUUGGUCUUAGAGACCCAAAACCAACUAGAGAUGUGUGAAAGCCCUAGUUUGGUUUUGGAUAAUUGAUGAAACCCUUGUACUAACCUCUAUACUAAGUAUGUGUGUAGACUUAAUGAGGUUGGUACAUGCCAAGUGAUGGAGCAAGUGAUGAUCAUGGUGAUGACCACAAGAUGAUAAAGUGCUCAACUUGGAAAAGAAGAAAGAGAAAAACAAAACCCUAUGGAGAUCAAGGCAAAGGUAUUGCUUAGGGUUUUGGUUUUGGUGAUCAAGACACUUGUUGACGGUCCUUAAGUAUCAAAUUUAAUUAUCAAAUAAAUAAAGAAAAGGAUCCAAAUGAAAUCAACAUCUAGAUUUAGGGUUUUAUCUGACAGAAUUCCACGAGUUUUGGUGUUUGUCUAUUUCUGCAGGGGGUUAUCAGGAAAUACGGAAUAAAGGCCCACACGUCGGGAUUACAUAGAGAUAUUAACGUGCCGCGCAAUUAUCUUACAUCUAGAAGACUCCAGAAGCCACGAGACUGAAGCGGAGGCGAAACGGGGCCAGAGGCAGGGCGCCCGCCCUCCUGCCCUGGGCGCCUGCCCCCUCUAGGAGUCCAAUCAGGACUCUGCUUCGCGGGAGAUCUCCACCGACCUAAAGGUUGAAUCUAAACCAUACAAUCUAUGUCGGUUUGAUCCAACGGCCCAUAUUCACUUGAAGGGACUAUAAAACUAGACCCCCUGGCCCCGGGAGGAGAGAGCCUCUCAACCCUAAUUCAUUAUUCCUCAAGGGAGAAGAAGCCUCUGAUCAAGAUUAGAGCCACCACAUCAAUUAGAUAUCUAGAUUAGCAUAGCUACAUAGGAUUAGAACUAGAAGGAGUCAAUCUUCGAUUGGUUUCCGGAUCUGUCAAGAGGAUUCUUGGUAAUUCUCUAAUUGUGCUUCUAAUUGCUUUCUAAUUAUCUUUGUUCUUCAAUAUUAUGAAUAUGACUUUGUUCUACUUCAAUAUAUUGCUUAUGACUUUGCUCUACUUGCUUAUAUUCAAGAUUAUAUUGUUCUUAGUUUAUCAUAGUUAUGUACUUGGCUUAGUUAGAUUGGAUCUAUAUACAUGCUUAGGAUCGUAUAGCGUUUAUCCAUCGGAUCCAUGGGUAAAUGAUAGAUAUUGUGUAGACGUGGUGCUUAUACCGUAUUUAUCUGCGAUUGUACCCAAUAUGCCAGAUCGUGGGGUGGUUCGUGAUAGUGACAGCUUCAUUGAUUCUUAUAUAGUCCCCCUCUCGUGUAUUGGGCUGGCAGAGCAACAUUAUUACAGGGGAGUGAUUGCUAUGUUUCUCAUAUUCCUUGCUAAUAUCACUAUGCAUGGGCGUAGUCUUAUCUCGCAAUGAUUGCUAAGUAUGCUUGCACUAACUAUGAUAAUGCUAGACUAUAUAGUUGAGAAUAACUUAGGGAAUAUUCUUGUAGUUCGUUCUAAUACCAUGCUAAUGACUCUCUAGAGUAUCUAAUUGAGGUGCUUAUCAUAUUUAUUAUGUGGCUAGAUCAGAUUAAUUAUCCUUGUCACUAUUCAUUAUUUCAUAUAUCUUUUAUGUGACACUUAUCCCUGUAUGAUGAGUUAGAUAUAAUGUUCUCAAUUAUACAUGCAAUGGUAGAUGCUCAAUCUCAUAUUCUAUUUUGUAAUCAAUAGUGAUGAUUGCUAAUCCCUUCCCAAUGGUAAAAAUAUAAAUAACGAUACCUGGAAUACUUCCCGGUUAAAAUGCUGCAUUGGUAUUAAUCUGUGCGCUUGCAGAUCCCAUUCAUUAUUUAUUUAGAAGAGCAAUUGCAUAUUUCAAUACCGCGUCUCAUAUAUCAUGCUGGGGAUGACAACUUGGCUUAAGUGGUGUGAGGGAUAGGUUUGGCAUUUUUGGCACCGUUACUAGAUUUAGAGAACUUAGUCUACUUUUGGUAAUGAUGUUAAGAAUUCCCAACAAGCAUUUUUGGCGCCGUUGCCGGGGAAGGUUGAUUACUAAUCAGGAAUAGAAUAAAAGAUUUUGAGUUAUCAUUCGCAUCACUAAUAUGAUUGAGCUUAUCUAUUCUCUCAUACAGUUUUACCCCGAUAUUUUCCUAUUUCAUCUUAUGCAGGGGAAUGUAUGAAUAGAAGACAUCUUCCAGGAAAUUUUGUUGACAAUCCCGAAGCAUUAUUCAAGAAGACGAGAGCCAAGCUAAAGAAAUCAUCAACACUUCAGCAAGAAGCUUCAUCCAAUCAAGAAGAUCACUGGAACUUGUCUUCAGAGUUCGAAGCCAUGGCAAACAAAUCAAUCCGCGAGUUCUCAGCUCCCACUACGGACAACAUCCGCACUAGACCUGCUGCAGAGAUUGAUGGCAACUUUGAGCUCAAGCCUGGACUUAUCAACAUGGUGCAAUCCAACCAGUUCUGUGGGAAGGCACACGAAGAUGCUAGUGCUCAUUUACAACACUUCCUGGAGAUUUGCAACACAUUCACCGUAUCAAGAGUUCCCAAAGAUGCUAUACUACUUUGCCUCUUCCCAUUCUCACUGUUAGGAAGAGCGAAGCAGUGGUUCUACGCUACAAAGGAGAAGAAUACUACGUGGGCACUCUGCUCAACAAACUUCCUGGCUAAGUUCUUUCCCAUGGGCAGGACCAAUGCUCUCCGUGGGAAGAUUACAAGUUUUCAGCAACAAAAUGAUGAAUCUGUUCCAGAAGCAUCGGAGCGCUUUCAAGACUACAUCCUAGAAUGUCCACAUCAUGGAAUGGAGAGUUGGCUAUUGAUGCAGACGUUUUAUCAUGGGCUCGGCAACAGUGCCCGAGAGACCAUGGAUGCUGCAGCUGGAGGAGCAUUUUUAUCACUUACUAUACCACAAGCCACAGCUCUUGUGGAGAAGAUGGCGUCCAAUCAAAGCUGGAAUGAAGAGAGGACCCAGACACGCAAGAGAGGUGGAGGUAUGCAUCAGCUGAAGGAGGUAGACAUGCUGUCUGCAAAGCUAGACCUGCUCAUGAAGAAGCUCGACGAUAGAGCUGGAGAUAAGAAAGAAGUUAUGCACAUCUACGACUCUCACAUGACUUGUGAGGAGUGUGGAGACACUGGACACUCAGGCAACCACUGCCCUGAGAUACUUGAGGAUGUGAACUACAUCAACAACAACAACAACAACAACUACUACAACCGUCCUCAACAAAAUCAAGGUUGGAAUCAACAGAGGCCUAACUACUCAGGUAAUUAUCAAGGUAACAAUUCUUACAACAACAAUAAUAAUUUUCCACCUUUGAGAGAGUUGGUGUCUAAUCAAGGAAAGCUAAUGGAUAACCUAUCUAAGAAAUUGGCAUCUAAUGAUAAAAUGCUAGAAAAUAUAAAUAAUAGAAUGGAUAAUUUCUCUACGGCCAUCAAGAAUCAAAUUAGCUUUAAUAAAAUGAUUGAAUCUCAGUUAAAUCAAAUAGCUGCUGCUGUUCCUACUACUAACCCCGGUAUACCAUCACAACCGGAAGGAUUAGAUUUUGCAAAUCUUGUAGACACGUUUGAUGCAGGUAAUUGGAGUAACCCCGUCAAUGAAUUCUCUACUCACCUUCUGCCGGUCAAGAGAGGCGAUCCAGGACGCCCCGUCAUCCCGAUCUCUAUCGGCAUGGUGGACGUUCCAGAAGCACUCUGCGACUUUGGCUCCAGUGUCAACAUUAUACCCAGGGUACUCUAUGAAAAAUUCUUUUCAUAUCCUUUAUUAGAAACAACCAUGUGUUUGCAGUUUGCAGAUCAGACGAUAACUUUUCCAAAGGGAAUAUUGAAGAACCUUUGUGUCCGAGUUGGUACCUUAUAUGCCCUAGCAGACUUCGUAGUGGUAGAGACCGGAAAUGAUGAGAGAGCACCUAUCAUCUUAGGGAGGCCAUGCUUGAAUACCACGGGAGCUAUCAUCUACGCUAGAGCUGCCAAGAUCAGUUUCUACAUCAAAGGGAGGAAGGAGAUAUUUUUCUUCAAGAACAAGACUACACAAAUUCCAGAUCAAUCCAGACGUGAAUCAAGGAAGAGGACCAACAGGAGGAACAGGAACAAGCAAGUGUGGACCGAGUCAGCUAAGAUGGUCACUGUAGUUCAUGGAGGCCAAGAUCACCAACUUAAGUCACCGCUUUUGACCAAGAAGGACGACCCAGGAAUGCCAAGCAUUUACUGCUCCAUAAAUGGAUACAACUUCUACAAGACAUUUUGUGACACCGGAUCGGGCGUCAACAUAAUGGCCGCAGUCACUUAUCGGCUCUUGUUCGGGACCAUGCCACUAAGACCAACAUACAUUCAGCUCCAGAUGGCAGAUCAGACAUUUCGAGAAGUUAAAGGAAUAGUAACUGAUGUCCCAGUCAAAAUAGACGAUCACUUUGUCUACACAGACUUUCAAGUUAUUGACAUGGGAGAAGAUGAGUAUGAUCCACCCAUCAUCCUUGGAAGACCGUUCCUCAGCACCGUUAAAGCAAUUAUCUACAUUGGAACCGGAGAAGUCCAUAUGCACUUCCCCUCAGAGAAGGUACGCCGUUAUUUUACUGACCCUAACUAUAUCGUUGAAGAAUCUAAGCAUGUAAGAAAACGACGCAACCGCAACCAGAGGAGGCAGAUCAUCAAGGACGGAUGGGCAGACUAUGAAGGAGAAGUUGUAAGGUCAGAAGACGUAGAGUUUAAACAUAAUUAUCCAGAGGAGACUGAAGCACCAAGUCAGGUGUGGAAAAUGAAGAUAACUAUACACGAAGAGGAGGCGCUGCCAGAAGUACCGACUACGCCACCCAACGAACCUCAGGACAAUUGAGAAAAUGGAGAGUCCCGUUCGGAGGACUUAAAAACACCGAACGCCUUGCCAAGAGGUAAACUUGGUAGUUAUCUUUUCCCUUUCAAAUUAUUUUAAAUAGUUCACUUAGUUAAUCAUAUUCAUACUAUCUUAAAAAUAAAAGAAAAUAAAAAUGUGAAAAACAGUAAGCCCUAUGUGAGUAUACGAGUGGCAUAAAACCCAUAAGUACAUUCACUGUGGUGGCAUAAAAAUAAAAUAAAUAUUUUUCUGCUUUAUAAAAUGAAAAUAUAAAAAAACAGGGAGUAAUAAUUAUUAAGGAGUCUCAAGAUAAUAAAGGCUAGAUAUUUAUGCUAACACUUAAUCAGUUCCACAAGCUUUGUUGUCUAUUUGAGCUCCACAGAAUUUAAGAGUCAAGAAGACUAGCAGACGGAGGACAUUCUAAUCGCUGUCAGAAUGCUGCUGACUUUCAAAUACACCUCUGCCACCUGCUAGCUACAUCAAGAGAAAUUACGUCAAAAUUCAGCUUGGGGGAGAGCACCCCCAUUUAUCUCGAUAAGUAUUUCUAUCUAUCUAUCUUUAUACUCAUAUUAUCUUAGAAUAUAAAUAUACAUAACUAUGAAAAAACCAAAUAAAGAUUUUAUGCUUAUUUAUAUAUCUUUUGCUUAGUGUGUUUAAUAAAUAAAUAAAGUGGCUAUGCUAAUCUGUAUCUAAAUAAAAAUUAAGCAUGGAUAUGAUGAAUAGUUGCUCUGCCUAAUUUGCACAUUUUAAGUUCUCUCUCAAGUUUAGAUAUAACUGUUAUAAUUUAAAACUUGCUCUAGACCUAAACUUGUGGGAUGAAAACUUGAUCUGAAGUCUAAGUUGUUAACGGAUACGAUAUGGGAAGGUUGAGCUGCUGUUUAUCUGUUCCUAGAGAUGCUAGAAUUCUGGAGAAUUUUAUCUUUGAAAAUCUUUUAAAAUGUUGCAUGAUGAGUUCCUGUAUGAUGAGAGUUUAAAUUCCUACCACAGCCAUAUAUACAUGCUUGCUAGACUUUGAGCCACACAUUUACUAUUUACUGCUUAUGAGCAUUGAGUGUGGUCAAGCUGUGUAGACACUUAGGAACUUGUCAUGUGGUUAAAUCAAGAUUUCACUUGCACGUUCACUCAUAUAUGCUACUUCUACUCCAGAAGUACCAUCCACAUAUAUCCAUCCAUUUCCAUCUCCAGAACCACCUAAAAAUAUUCUACUCCUAAUCCAGGAGAGAAUAACCAAAAAUAUUUUUGUUUUUCCUUGUGAAAUAAAUGCUCAAGUUAUCUUGUUACUACCACUUGCUAUAUUAUCUCAUGAGAUGAGUGCUUUCUAAAAAAAAGAGAAAUACGAGGAAAUAAAAAGGAGCAAGUGCUCGAAACCUCGAAAGAAAAGAAAAAGUGAGACGAGAGGUAAAAAUGGACAAGUGUCCGACAGUAGAAUUAGUGGUGCAAGAUACCCACCUGAGAGAAAAGAAAAAGAAGAGCAUCUCAUUCUCCUCAUAAAGUUUCAAAAAAGCAAGGAAGGUAUGUAUCCCCUCAAAGAGCAAAGUAGAAUUAGACUUCCACCACCAUUGUUUUCACCAUUGUUAUCACCAUCAUCACCAUACAUCAUUCAUUCGCCACACAUGCACAUCUUGAUUAAACUCAUUGGCUUGUUUCUUUGGAUCCAUGGUUUGACUAUGCAAUACAUGUCUUGUAAGUAUGUAUACUUUAUUUCCCACCUAUGAGCUCCAGAUAUUAAAGCCUUAUUAGAGUAGGAUGAGAGAGAAGGCAAUGUCACUAUGCCUUAUACCACAAAUACCACAUAUCUUGAGAGAAGGCAUAUACCAUCACUGCCUUGGUAAGGAUCCAGAAAUACCACAAAAGAGAGACCUGAGAGAAUCAUACAAGGAAUCUCUGAGUUUUAUUUGAAAAUCUGCAAAAACCCCAGAGCUAUAGCUGAUCAAGAAUAAGAGACAUGGCACUUGACUAGACUGUUCUAUCUUUUAACCUCUCAAGACAGAAGUGACAGUUACAAGCCCAUAGUGACGGUAAAGUAAGUAAGUUUUAAGUCUUGACAGUUUACUCUAGCUUAGAGAUGAGAUCUUAUUUAAAAAGCAUGUGUACCGUCAAUUUUUAAAUAUAUUGCAAUAACUUAUGAUCCAUAGCUGAGUCUAUCCUUGCUCAGGGACGAGCAAGAGGUAAGCUUGGGGGAGUUUGUUGACGGUCCUUAAGUAUCAAAUUUAAUUAUCAAAUAAAUAAAGAAAAGGAUCCAAAUGAAAUCAACAUCUAGAUUUAGGGUUUUAUCUGACAGAAUUCCACAAGUUUUGGUGUUUGUCUAUUUCUGCAGGGGGUUAUCAGGAAAUACGGAAGAAAGGCCCACACGUCGGGAUUACAUAGAGAUAUUAACGUGCCGCGCAAUUAUCUUACAUCUAGAAGACUCCAGAAGCCACGAGACCGAAGCGGAGGCGAAACGGGGCCAGAGGCAGGGCGCCCGCCCUCCUGCCCUGGGCGCCCGCCCCCUCUGGGAGUCCAAUCAGGACUCUGCUUCGCGGGAGAUCUCCACCGACCUAAAGGAUGAAUCUAAACCAUACAAUCUAUGUCGGUUUGAUCCAACGGCCCAUAUUCACUUGAAGGGACUAUAAAACCAGACCCCCUGGCCCCUGGAGGAGAGAGCCUCUCAACCCUAAUUCAUUAUUCCUCAAGGGAGAAGAAGCCUCUGAUCAAGAUUAGAGCCACCACAUCAAUUAGAUAUCUAGAUUAGCAUAGCUACAUAGGAUUAGAACUAGAAGGGGUCAAUCUUCGAUUGGUUUCCGGAUCUGUCAAGAGGAUUCUUGGAAAUUCUCUAAUUGUGCUUCUAAUUGCUUUCUAAUUAUCUUUGUUCUUCAAUAUUAUGAAUAUGACUUUGUUCUACUUCAAUAUAUUGCUUAUGACUUUGCUCUACUUGCUUAUAUUCAAGAUUAUAUUGUUCUUAGUUUAUCAUAGUUAUGUACUUGGCUUAGUUAGAUUGGAUCUAUAUACAUGCUUAGGAUCGUAUAGCGUUUAUCCAUCGGAUCCAUGGGUAAAUGAUAGAUAUUGUGUAGGCGUGGUGCUUAUACCGUAUUUAUCUGCGAUUGUACCCAAUAUGCCAGAUCGUGGGGUGGUUCGUGAUAGUGACAGCUUCAUUGAUUCUUAUAUAGUCCCCCUCUCGUGUAUUGGGCUGGCAGAGCAACAUUAUUACAGGGGAGUGAUUGCUAUGUUUCUCAUAUUCCUUGCUAAUAUCACUAUGCAUGGGCGUAGUCUUAUGUCGCAAUGAUUGCUAAGUAUGCUUGCACUAACUAUGAUAAUGCUAGACUAUAUAGUUGAGAAUAACUUAGGGAAUAUUCUUGUAGUUCGUUCUAAUACCAUGCUAAUGACUUUCUAGAGUAUCUAAUUGAGGUGCUUAUCAUAUUUAUUAUGUGGCUAGAUCAGAUUAAUUAUCCUUGUCACUAUUCAUUAUUUCAUAUAUCUUUUAUGUGACACUUAUCCCUGUAUGAUGAGUUAGAUAUAAUGUUCUCAAUUAUACAUGUAAUGAUAGAUGCUCAAUCUCAUAUUCUAUUCUGUAAUCAAAAGUGAUGAUUGCUAAUCCCUUCACAGUGGUAAAAAUAUAAAUAACGAUACCUGGAAUACUUCCCGGUUAAAAUGCUGCAUCGGUAUUAAUCUGUGCGCUUGCAGAUCCCAUUCAUUAUUUAUUUAGAAGAGCAAUUGCAUAUUUCAAUACCGCGUCUCUUAUAUCAUGCUGGGGAUGACAACUUGGCUUAAGUGGUGUGAGGGAUAGGUUUGGCAUUUUUGGCACCGUUACUAGAUUUAGAGAACUUAGUCUACUUUUGGUAAUGAUGUUAAGAAUACCCAACAACACCAUAGAGGGUGUGAUCACAUUUAGGAUAGAUAGCCGUACUAUAAAGAGGGGAAUUCUUUGGCUAAGCGGUUAUCAAGUGCCACUAGGUGUCAUUGUUCAUGUGCAUGCAUUUAGAACCUAGUGAGCUAACUUAACUCCUUCGAAGAAAAUAAUUGUGAAAAUGCUAACACACGUGCACAUGUUGGUUUACACAUUGUGGUGUUGUCUCACUUUGAGAAGGAGGUGGAGUUUGAUGGGUAGAGAGGGUUUGGGUUUAGGGUUCGGCGCUUUUGAGAAAAUAAAGUGCAUAUUUUCUAUUGCGCCGGUGGGAACUUUGGAGAAGUUGCGGGACUGUUCCUCGCUAAGAAACACUCACCGGACGCUGGUCAUUGACUUCUACGUCCAGUGCUAUCUGACUUCUGCGAGUAAACCUAUCUGGAAGCACCGGACGCUCAGGGAGUGUCCGGUGGUGUGCGUCCGGUGACCUACGCGUUUUGCAGACCUCCCUGAGUUUAAGACCGGUGCAAACUUAAGUGCGUCUGGUGCUCUGCAUGUGACCGUUAGAGAUCAACGCACGAAAGUGAAAAAGGCAACACGUGGCAGUUUUCAGGGCACUGGACGCAGGGCUUGAGCGUCCGGUGGUUCCCUGCGGUGCGUCCGGUGACCCCGUUUUUCGCCCAGUGAAAGAGCCAACGGCUCUUUUUAUUUGAGGGGUCUAUAAAUACGUGUUUGGCCGGCUUGGGGCUCACUCUCUUGGUAUUCUUGACUACUAUACAUCCUUGUGAGCCUAAGCAAACACCUCCCACUCAUCUUCUUCAUAGAUUAUUCAUCUUUGUGAGAUUGGGAGUGUUUCCAAGUGUAUUUGCUUGACUGAUUGCAUCUAGUGGCACUUGGGGAUCGUUCUAGCUGCGGUUUUCUUGUUACUCUUGGUGGUUGCCGCCACCUAGACAGCCUGGAGCAGCGGAGGAGGAUUGGCACGAGUUGGUGAUUGUUCGUGGCCAUCUCCUAGUGAUUGUGAGGGGUCUUGUACCUUCCCCGGCAGAGAGCCGAAAGGUAACUCUAGUAAAGUGCUCAUGUCAUUGAGUUACCUCACUUGUGGGUAGGUUCUUGUGGUGUCCUAGUGAGGACGAGGUUCAUGCUACACCUCUUAGCCACCGAACCACCAUGUGUUGGUCGACACAACGUGGACAUAGCGUUCCGGCAAGCACGUGAACCUCGAGAGAAAAAUUAGUGUCUCAAUUGUGUUUGAUUGACAUUCUCCCGGUGCUUGAUUGUUUAUAUUAGUGAUUGGUUCAUCCCCUUCACGGCGGUAUAAAUAUCUCAUCCUAUCUUUACUUACAGCAAAGUAGUGUAAUUAGUUUAAUUACUUACUUUGACUUGUGUAGCUUAGUUCACUUGUGUCCCUUGUAGAGACUUAGUUCUUGUGUGCAUAGUGAUCAUAGCAACUAGAUUUGUUGGGUAGGUGGCUUGCAUUCACCCCUUUAGAGCUAGAGGAAGAAGCUUCGCUUUGUUAUUUACUAACUACUUGCUCUAGUGAUUUUGUAGAAUUUUUAAAUAGGCUAUUCACCGCCCCUCUAGCCAUAUUAGGACCUUUCAAUGUGUUUACCUCCCGCUUUCUUCGACCCUAUGGUACAUCUCAUGAUUCACAUGGUUCAUCAGAUACAGGUGUUGGGCCCUUGCUACUUGCAUGAAAUGUGGUCGUAUGAGCGGUUCAUGUCGGUUCUAAGCCAAUACGUGCAUAAUCGUGCAUACCCAGAGGGCUCUAUGAUAGAGGGCUACAACAGUGAAGAAGUCAUCGAGUGCUAUCAAGAGUACCUAAAAGUACAGAGAGGGAUUGGUAUUCCUGAUUGUCACUACAAGGGUAGGCUGGCUGGGAAGGGCACAAAUGGUAGAAAAAUCUUCAUCGACAAUGAAUACACAGAAGUGAGCCGGGCGCACUACGCUGUCUUAGUGAGCACAAAACUGAUGGAACCAUAUAUUGAUGAACACAUAGAGAUCAUCCAAUCAGAGAGAAAUGGUCGUACAGGUGAUUGGGUCAUGAAACAACACAAGCAACGCUUAACUUCAUGGUUGAAGGACCAAAACAUAUAGCCUGGAGAAACCAUAGAUUCUAUUACCAUCAGUAAGUUGGCUGCGGGGCCAUCAAGACAGGUGACAUCUUGGAGUUCUUAUGAGAUCAAUGGGUACACAUACUAUACCCACGCAAAGGAUAGUAAAUGUGUGAACCAAAACAGUGGUGUUCGAGCAGUGGCUAUCGGCGCAGGGGGUAAAAGAUCGACUACUUUGGCAUAAUUGAAGAUAUAUGGGAACUUGACUAUGGAACUGAGGCACUAAAUGUGGCCCUAUUUCGAUGUCGCUGGAUCAAGCAACAUGAAUUCAAUGAAAACCGAUUGAGGUUCGUGGACCUUCAGAACAUAGGCUACCAGGAUGAUCCAUGGGUCCUUGCUUCACAUGUUACAUAGGUUUUCUAUAUGACCGACCCGCUCAGCAUUGUCCCCCCAAAGAAGAAACCUAAGCAUGUGGUUAUCCCUAGAAAACAACACAUUAUCGGAGUUGAUGGCGUUGAUGAUGUUGAAGCCUACAAUAAGUGCGAUCAGAUGCUGCUAUUCCCAGACUUUAUUAACAAGAUCGUUGUUGUGGAAAAAAACCUACUCAAAGACGUAUUGCCAUGGGAACAAAAAGGUGUGAAGUGGAAAACUGUUACAGCGUCGGAUACUAAUAAAUAGUCAUAUGUAUGUGUGUGAGACUACAUUUAUGUAUGCAUGUGAGACUACAUUUAUGUAUGUGUGUGAGACUACAUUUAUGUAUGUGUGUGAGACUACAUUUAUGUAUGCGUGUGAGACUACAUUUAUGUAUGUGUGUGAGACUACAUUUAUGUAUGCAUGUGUGACUACAUUUAUGUAUGCGUGUGAGACUACAUUUAUGUAUGUGAUUUAGAACUGCACUUUCUUAACGCUAUGUCAAAUGCACAAAUGUCCAAUAUAUCAAAUGUAGAUCUUGAUGAGUGGAACAAACUUGCUAUUCAUGACUUUCGGAGUUGGGGCCGUCUAGGGUCCCGAAAACGUGCGUGGAGCCGUAAAAAUUUAAAAUUUCAAAAUUUUAGUGGUCCAAACCAUCUCAGAUGAAAAGUUGACCAUUACACCAAAUGUGUAUCUUGAUAAGGGGAACAGACUUUGUAUUCAUGACUUUUGCAUCUGAGACCAUCUUGGGUCCGGUCAAAGUGUAUUUUGUGAAAAAUCUAAUGUUUGACUUGGUCAAACUAGGUCAAACUAGGCAAUAAAAGACCUCAAAUGAAAAAAUUUGAAUACAACAUUUGGAAAAGUUUCGGUUAACUCAGUUCACAUGUUUUGAAAACCCAAGGCGUGACUAGGUCAAACCUGGUCAAACGAGGGAGUAAAUGACCUCAAAUGAAAAACUUUUGAAUACAAGGUAGUUAGAGCACAUCAAGAUACACAUUCCAUACAUAGGACAUUUUUGCAUUUGAGUAAGCGUUUGUAAACUCUAGUCACAAAGUCUUGAAUCAUACAUAGACUUUAUGAAACUACAUGCGGGACUUGUGGAUUUAGAACUGUACUUUCGUAACGCUUUAUCAAAUGCAAAAAUGUCCUAUAUAUCAAAUUUAGAUCUUGAUAAGUGGAACAAACUUGCUAUUCAUGACUUUCACAGUUGGGGUCGUCUAGGGUCCCGAAAGCGUGCGUGUAGCCGUGAAAAUUUGAAAUUUCAAAAUUUAAGUGGUCCAAACCAUCUCACAUGAAAAGUUGACCAUUACACCAAAUGUGUAUCUUGAUAAGGGGAACAAACUUUGUAUUCAUGACUUUUGCAUCUGAGGCCAUCUCGGGUCCGGUCAAAGUGUAUUUUCUGAAAAAUCCAAUGUUUGACUUGACCAAACUAGGCAAUAAAGAAUAAACUUUGCAUUUAUAUAUAUAAAUUAAUCAUAAAAAUGUUUGAAAUAAUUCAAAAUUAUUACAUAUUAGGUCAAAUGAGGCACUAAAGAAUUUUUAAAUUUACACAAAUCUAUUUUUUAGUUCCAAAAAAAUUUAGUUUGAAAUUAUAUAAUGUAUAUAAAUUAAAUAUAAAAUACUUGGAAUAGUUUGAAAUUAUAUAAUAUAUAUAAAUUAAAUAUAAAAAUACAUGGAAUAAAUUAAUUUAUUAUAUAAAUAUAUUUUGAACUUUAAGUAUAUUAAAAAAAUGAUUUUACAUUUGAAGAAAACCACAGUAAGGGCGGUUCACAUCUCAACCGCCCUUAUAGUGGGGCUGCCCUCCAUAAAAGGAACCUCUGUUCCCAGCGCCUAAGUCAGGACGUUCACAUUCACAGUUGGGCGCCGUCAGGCUGCCCGAAUCCCCCCCCCGAUCCGAUGGGAACCCUAGCCGCCGCUGGUGCCCGUGCAACGCCACCACUCUCCUCCCCGAGCUCUCCUCCCCCUCCCCUUCGCCGGUGCCUGUGCCACGCCACCACUUUGCUGUCGGUCGCCCAGUCGGAACCCUAGCCGCCGCCGGGAGCCAGAUCUGCGCACGGCCGCCCGCCCGAGCGUGCCUCCACGAGCUCUGCGAGUCUGGCCGAGGACCUCCGUCGUCCACGAGCUCUUCUUCCGCGAGCUCGGCGACCUGCUUCCAUCCGUGUGCCGUGCGCUCCGCCCUGUUAGAACCCUAGACGUCACCGAGCGCCGAAGCUCCACGCGCGACCGCCCGCCUGUCGGCGAGCCCAGGCACUCCACCUGCUAGGAACCCUAGGCGCCCCCCAUCCGCGACUUUCUCUCCUUUUCCUCCAAAGGUACCAGACUUUCUCUCCUUCUCUUUUUUCUAUGCUAUAUGUCGUUUGGAAAUUCUAUAGCAAUUAGCAGGUUUGUAACUUGAAUAUAUAGCUGAUACUCGCUAUACUCGGAUGCACUAUGGAUGUUCUUCUCCAAUUUGAGUUUUUUCUGGUAGUGGCAGUGGCAUGCAUGCUGUAGUGUUUUCUGCAGUACAUGGAUUGAUAGUGCAAACAUGUGGAUUGAUAGUGCAACCAUCUAAAUUAUCUUAUUCUUAUGCAAUUAUGCUACAUUCUUGACUGUUCUCCCUCUUGACUAGUACUUGCUGUCUGCUACACAUUCUUUUUCUUCUUUGAUACAGUCAUUGUGCCUUACUAUCUCUAUGAACUAAAAAUGAAUAGUAUGAUAAACAAAGAUAGUCCAAAUUGUAAAAUCUAUUGGUCAACCCGUGCCACUAUAGAUUUAUCUUCAUUCUUCUACUACGUGUUUUUGUUGUUUCGUUUUUAGCUAUUAUUCCAUAGCCUAAAUAAAAGCAAGUUGAAAGCAGCUGUGGUUAAUUUUAGUUGUUGGUUGAAAUUAAGGGCUAUAUAAUCUGUGUUUUGGUUGAAAGCAUCUACGGUUAAUUUUAAUUGCUAAUAGCUAUCUAUUCGUUCUGUCUAAUUUCUAUCUGAGAGAUUUGAUGAUCUGGUUAGUGUUAGGGUUUUUAUUAGUGUGUAUUGUUGAUAGACUGUGUUUUGAGAUAUUGUACAUGGACAGUUGGAUAGCUUCACCGACUGUUUCCUGUUUCAACUAAGCACACCUGAGCUGUUUGACACCGUGAAUGCAACAUGCAUCAUUAACACUGAAUUUUUUUAGCUACUUAAUGCAAUGAUGUUAGUUUAGAACUAGUAGUGUUUGUGUUUGCUCGAUUUUAGUUCUAGAUAGCUUACUGUCCAAUUGUGUUGAUUUGUGGUGGCUUACUGUCAUUUUGAUUUGUGGCUUACUGUAAUCCUACUACUACUGCUUUUGUACUACAACUGUACUACUACUCUCUCUAUGACAGUUUUAUAUACUGAGACAUAAUUACUGUUGUUUAUAUUGCAGACUGCUUAUAUGCCACUCCUCUCUACUACUACUACUACUCUACUGUUGUGGUGGCUUACUAGCAUAAUUUUGAAUUGAUGACAUUUUUUGAACUGUGCUCCUCUAUACUACUACUAUACUCUCUCUCCUCUACUAUUGUUUUGCCGAUGAUGAAAUUGUCUAAUUCAAUACAUUAUUUUAGAAUAUGAGCUGACGAUCCAAAACUUAUGAGUAACUUGGCAUCAUUACUAGCUGCCUCUAUAGUGCCUUCUUCUCUGUUUUGAUGCCUUCAUGCUCCAAGUUCUUGAUCAAAUGAUGCUUGACAUGUUUCUGAGGCCUUUUUCAAACCUUUCCCUUUCAUCACCUCUCCUUCCUCUCUGCUCCUUCUAUCUCUCUUCUCUUUUCUACUCUCAUCCUCUCUCCAACACUACUGCACUAGUCUACUACUAGUGCUAGCUACUGCUCUACUCUAGUACUCUACUAGUACUACAUUACUAUUGGGGCUUACUGUAAUCCUACUACUACUACUGUUGUGCUCCAACUCUACUACUACCCUCUCUAUGACAGUUUUAUAAAUUGUGCUAUUCUAUACUACUACUCUUCUCCUCUCCUACUACUUCUAUGAUUUUUCUUCUCUCCUUUAUUUUGCCGAUGAUGAGAUUGUCUAAGUCCAUUCAUUAUAUGGAAUAUGAGCUGAUGAUCAAGAACUUGUGAGGAACUUGGCAUUGUUACCAGCGGCCCCUAUAUCACCUCUUCUUCUCUAUUACGAUCCCUUUAUGCUCCAAGUUCAUGAUCAAAUGAUAAUUGACAUGGUACUGAGGCCUUUACUACUUGUACUAAUUGUUUUUUUAAAAUUUCUUGCUCGAUGAUACAAAAGGUGUAGUGAGACAGCAUGACAGUCAAAUACCCAUAGCUUCUCCUAGACGGAAAGCUUCUGGGGGAAACUCGUCUCGAAUAGAGUGCCAUUGGAUACUAGCCUCCCCCAGAGGUUUUCGGUCUUGUAGUGCAAAUGGGUUUUCUCUUAACCAUUACUGACUGUCUUGUAAGUCUAUGAUCUAUGAUCACCACAGAGCAGCGGAUGGCUCUAUAAAGCAGCAACCCGCUAAUUGGAGGGCACAUGAGUUUCUUCUUCUUCUACUACUACUACCGAUUACUAAUUUGUCGCCUUUGUCUGUUCUCUCUCCUAUCUUCUCCUCUCUUCUCUGUUUUGAUGCCUUCUUCUCUAUUUUGAUGCCUUGAUGCUCCAAGUUCAUGAUCAAAUGAUGGUAGACAUGUUUUUGAGGCCUUUUUUGAACACUACUACUACUACUACUACAGCACUGCUGCUGCUACUACUACUAAAGCACUGCUGCUACUACUAAAGCACUGCUGCUACUACUAAAGCACUAUUGCUCUCUUCUCCUCUUCUUCAACCUACUACUACUACUACUACUACUACUACUACUACUACUACUACUACUACUACUACUACUAAAGCACACUUUAUUCCUUUCAUCUGUUAGAACAAAUCACGAAAUGACACGGACAACAAGCAAUGCAUCCCGAUCCAACGAACAUGAAGAGCACCCUAGCCCUAGAGAGCAAGAAAUACAUGAUUAGUUUUCUCAGGAACACUUUGAUGAUGAAGUGGGCAAUGGUGUAGCAUUUAUGCUUACUCAUGAGUCUGGCGAGGAGCAAGGGGGAGAAGCGGGAAGAGGAGAGACUCAUAAAGGAUCUAUCAAGGACGAUGACUCAACCUCAGGAUAUGAAAGUCCUAAAGAUCCACACCCAUGUGAACAUAGACGGAAGCCAACAACGGAUGAGUUGGACAUGGACUUUGACCCAAACGAGGAGAUAGGGAUAUGAAAGUCCCUUAGUAAAUCAUAAAUUUUGGUAAUGAUAUGGCUGUGUUACCUCUACUAAAACUUUGACAUGUUGUUUAUACAGGUCCACCCUAAACCUCCAAAAAGACCACAUCGGCGUCCGACAUGUUUCGCCGGACAUGACGGGGCAAGGGAAAGGAGGGCAGAGGCAACAGGCACAGAGACUACCAUUGUGGCCUCUGCUCCACAACCUGAAGGCACAACCUCAGCCUCGACUACCAAAGUGAAAAGGAAAGGAGGGGUCAGAAAACCAAACCACUAUCCAAAUGCAAAAAUGAUUUAUGUGAUUGACGAGGUUGGGGAAGAAGGGCAGAUCCUUAAGCCAAAGGAGUUCCAAUCAAAAUUCCGCAAUGCAAUUGGGGCCCUAGUCAGAGACAAGUUGAACCCAUCAAUCCGUAAUUGGCACGACUAUCUAGAGGACAUAAAGGAUGACCUAUGGAAAAAUCGUCUGUUGGUCAAUUUUAAUUUUAGGAUUCCAGCAGAGAAGCUACCCCUAGUAAGACGACGUGCUAUGAAGAUGAUGGGAGAAUCCUUCCGAUGUUGGAGGAAUGAGCUGAACACCGAGUACAUCAAAAAGGGGUUAACUCUGUACCAUAAGUAUAGACACAUAACUCCUGCUAUCCGGGCAUUGCUCAUGGCUAAGAAGACUGCACCAGAAUCUUUGGCCUUAAGUGAAAAGAACAGCUUGUAGGCGAAGAAGAACAUCCACCACCCUCGUCUAGGCCCCGGUGUCUACGAGGGCAAGGAAGAGAUGUUUAGAAAGAUGGAAGAGGAGGCCGUAGCUGCUGGGAAUACAAAAGUAAUGAAAUUGAAGCCACACACCAAGCGUUGGGUCUUUGCAACGAAUCUGGAAGAUUCAAGUAGCAGUCUGAAAUUUGCUAAGCCAGAGACCGAGGAGGCAGUGUCAAGGAUAAUAAAAUAUUCUGAAGACAUCGAGAAGGGUUCAUUCACUCCUUCUAGAGAGAAGGACGAGCUUAGCCUUGGCUUGGGAAAUCCCGAGCACACAGGUCGUGUUAGAGGGUUAGGGAAACAUAAGACCUGGAAGGAAGGAUUUCGAGAGCAUGUGGAGAUGUACAAGAAACAUGGUAGAAACCGGGAGGAGAGUCUUGCUACCCUAGUGAAGACCCUAGUUGCCUAGGAACUAUAGGAGCAAGGACUGUCUACUGAGCGACGGUCACAAAUGGAGCCGCCUAGGGAUUUGGUUCUAGUUGGCAGCCCUCCGAAUGUUCAAAGCAGCCAAGGUUCCAAUGCAACCUCCGCCUCAGUUGAUCACAUACGGGUGCUAACUCGUUCCAUCCUGUUGAUUCCCAUCGGUAGGGGGCAGGAGAUGGCUGAGGUGGCAACGAGUCUGGCACAUCCUCCAACUCCAGGCGACAUCUAGCACGAUAAACCGGUCCCGGCUGAUUAUAGUAAGGUUGAGGUGCAUACCGUGAAUCUUGAGUACACGAAGCAUAAGAUUGAACACCCAACUAGCGAGGGGAUUCGUGAGCUUGGACUACUCAUGAAACAGUUCAUCCUCUAGUACAAAAAGGAUAUUGUGUUGAUUGUUUCCUCGCCAACUCUGAGUGAUGUACACCUGGAGAUAUUCCACCUUGAGGAUGGAGAGGUGUAUUCACCGUCUCAUGAGGACCACUUGAUGCAUGAGAGGGCACUGGCUUCUCCGACCGCUGGCGAGCAAGGGGUCGAGCCAGGGCAUGAUGAGACGCCACAUGAGCCUCAAAUAGGUGAACCUUCUGUAGCUCAUGCGGAGCCAGAGCAUGAGACGCCAUAUGUGCCUCAUAGCCCACAACCUUAUACAGCUCGUGCCGAGCCAAAGCGUGACGUGACACCACAUGUGCCUCAUAGCCCACAACCUUCUACAGCUCGUGCCGAGUCAGAGCGUGACGAGACACCACAUGUGCCUCCUAAGCCAUAACCUUCUCCAGCUCGCCCUGAGCAAGGCCAUGAUGAGAUGGCACAGACUUUUCAACAAGCGUCGCUGACACAUGAAGAACUAAUCCCUCUAGUAUGUGAAGCUCGCGAAAAGAUCCCCAUCAUGAUAAGUCGACUGGGUCAACAUCUUUUGUGGAUAUGAACAUCUCAGGUAUGUACAAGUGGUAUGCUCAUGACCAGUUCAAGCCUGAGAACCAAGGCCCGAACAAAUUUGCCUACAGGAUGCCCACUGACACCUCAGACUACACAACGAUAAUGAAGUAUCUAGAUGUUGAAACCAUCAAGUGGUCAAAGGAUUGCCCGAAAGAAUGUGUAAGAGGCAAACAUUUCCUACCAAACUGGAUCCUGUGUAAGAUGCCAUAUGGAAUGAGAAGGUUUCAUGAUUGGUACUACUUCAUGUUUCAUGUACAGAACUGAAUGUGUUGGAAGCAGUAAUACCUGCUCGCACAUUUGGAGGCCCUGCUUCGGGGAUUGCCUUUGACUUCAACGACCUCCAAUCAUGCUUUCACUUUAGUUCAAUGUCGAUGAAUCUGAUUCGCACUUGGUGCCUAUAAGUUCUCUCCCUCUUGAUAUGAUCUGAAAGUAACCUAAUUGGAUUUUGCUAAAACUAACUUACCUCGUGAUUUUUAGAAUGCAAGCACGCUAUAUGAAAUCUACACGCUCAACGAAAGCUGGGUAUGUAGACCCUAUGCCUAUAGCACAAAUAAAUUUUAAUUACCCAUCGAGAUGGGAAUUGGAUGCGCCACAAUUAGCUGCUGGAGAGACUUUGGCGGAGAAAGAAAAGAUCCGUGUGGCCAAAAUAAGAGAAGAGUCCCUUAAGGUUGCGGCGUGGAUUGCCAUAUGUUUAAAGAAUCUCCAACACUUCGAAACAAUAUGGAUACCAUACCACUUCAAGUAAGUUCGAUUGUAUACUUAAUGAUUGUUCGGUAUAUCUUAUUUUGAUGCAAAGGUACUUAUGUGUUUAUUUAAAAUUGUUGUAGCAAUCACUGGAUAGUCAUAGGCGUCGAUGUCGGGAUGAACGUGGCAUGGAUUUGUGAUUCUGCAGAUUUUGACCCUCACACAUAUAAAGACUUCAUGUCAAUUCUCAUUACGUAAGCAAAUUAGUAAUCCUAGUAACCUUAUAUGAUUCACUUUAAUAUCGACUUCUGCAUACUAUAAGUCACAUCGAUUCUCAUUCAAACAGGGCAUUCAGGGCCUAUGUCAAGAAUCACAAAGGAAGGCAUGAUCCAGUUGUGGGCAGCCACUUGCGUUUCAAAUCUCUAUGUUCAGUAAGUGCGACUUAGUUUGGCAUAAAAUUACUAAUUUUUUCAGUACUUAUACUUGACAUCUCCAUUUGCAAAUUGAAACAAAGUUUCCCAAGCAAAGGCCAGGGAGUCUGCAUUGUGGAUAAUAUGUAUGUGCUUUCAUCAGUAACACAAAAGGCUACAGGAGACACCCUGAAUUGGUAAGUUUGAAUCUCUUAGUGGGUUGUAGUAUGAAAACAUAGUAUUUCUCAUUUAGCUUUGCAAUCUCUUCUUUACACUAGACCUAAAUUUGUCUUUUACGAUCUUGUAGUGGAAAGAAGAAAAAAGACUAAAAAGGGAUGUCUACAGGGAUGAUGACCUCUUAGAGAUCGGUGACCUUUGCAACUUUAUAAUGGACCAUGUUGUUUAUUACAAAGGUGAUUACCAUAACCUACUUUCUGACUUAGGUAGCAAUCCUCUUUACCAGCACCUCCAUCAGUGGGAUAGGCUAUGUCUAGGUCGUUGAUUACAUGUGAACUUGUGGUAAUGGACUGUGAUCGAUUUAUAUUAGUACUUGAAAAACUUUGGACUCUUUGGAUGGAUUUUUAAUGGACUUAGAAACAUUUGGGACUUGAAAUGUGUUGGACUAUAAAUGUGGUGCUGUGUAUAUGUAUGGAUCUGUAUGUUGUGAAUCUGUGAUGUUGAGAAUCUGAUUAUAUAUGUAUAUACAUAUGUUGUGUUGUGCUGUCAAUUCGAUUAUUGUAAUUUUUAUUUUUUUUUUCUGAAAAAUAAUUGUAGGGGCGGUUCUAGAUUGAACCGCCCUUGCAAAUGUAGACAAUAGGGGCAGCUGAGACACCAGCCGCCCUUACUAAUGCUCACUAUAAGGGCGGGUAGAAGCACCAGCCGCCCUUAUAGUGGUUACUAGUAAGGGCGGUUGUUGUUUCCAACCGCCCUCAUAGUGGCCCACUGUAAGGGCGGCUAGUGUUGAACCGCCCUUACAGUGAAUUCCAUUGUAAGAGCGUUUGCAUAAGGGCGGUUGGGCCAGCCGCCCUUACAGAGCUUAUUUAGCCGCCCUUGCUGUGCCUGACUGUAGUAGUGUGAAUCCAACCUAGACUCAACUAGGGUGCCCACACAGGACACAUCCGAUGUGUGCAAUCGGCACAUGGCUGUCCAAUUUGACUACCAACAGCUAGUAAGAUAGACAUUUCACCAACAACAUCCUCUAGAAUAGUUGUGAAUCCAAGAAUCAGAGCACAGUGCAACUGAGAACUAUGCAGGUGUGCUGUCAUGGUACAAAAGAUGCACUACUACAGAACACUACAAAGAGCUACUGUACAGGCGGUUCGCAACCUCUUUCUACAGGAAGAUUGACGAACCGCCUGCGCUGUUGGCCUGUGGAAAUAAAUUUUUCCACGGGCGGGUAACUGAGAACCGCAUGUAAAAAUUUAUUUCUACAGGCGGUUCAGUUAUGUGAACUGCCUGUAGAAAUCUAUUUUUACAGGCGGUUUAAUUAUGUCACCCGCCUGUAGAAAUUCAUUUCUACAGGUGGUUCAGUUAUGUGAACCGCCUGUAGAAAUCCAUUUGUACAGGCGGUUCAAUUAUGUCAUCCACCUGUAGAAAUCUUUUUAUAGAAAAUAUAAAAUCAACUUUUAAAAAUAGAAAAAAAAAAUUUAAUUACAGAGAAGGCCCACUAGAUAGUCGCAUGUCGCGCUUUUUUUCGUGUAAAAUCACGUGCUUCGCGGCCGGUGGGAUUCGAACCUGGCCUCUUCUACCACUCUACCUAUCACUCACUUGUCUCUAUAUUAGAGUUUAGUUCCCCACAUAUUAUCCUAAACCGAGCAUAUAUUGAUUAUUUGAGGCCCUAAACGGAUUCCAAUGGAAAAGUUGUCAACUAUAAAGUUUCAUAACUUUUCAACAUCUACAACUUUUAUAUUGGUAGUUUCUCCAUCCGAGGUCAUUUACAAAAUAUGAAUUUAAAAUUUGAGAAAUUCAAACGUAGUUUUUGACGACAUGAUUUCAAAUGAAAAAAUUAUCAACUACAAAGUUUAUUUUCGAGAUCUACAACUUUCAUUUUGAUGGUUUUUCAAACGAGGUCAUUUGAAAAACUCAAAAAAAUCAAUUUAAAAUUAUUUCUACAGGCGGAUUUAAGAAACCGUCUGUAGAAAUAUGAUUUUUACAGGCGGUUCGUUAGGAGAAACGCCUGUAGAAAUACAUGAUUUCUACGAGCGGUUUUGUUAGGAAAACCGCAUAUGAAAAUUGAUUUUCACAGGCGGGUUUUGAGUUGGGCCCGCCAAUUUAUUUUUACAGGCGUUCUUUAAUUAAAACAGCCUAUAAAAAUUAAAUUCCACCACCAGCUUAGAGCUUCUUUGUACUAGUGGAAUGAGGCAUUGGUCAAUGCCCAAAAUCGCUAAAAGCCUCGGCCCUUUUGCGGCCCGAGGCUAAAGACCCCUUUAGCACCGGUCUGUAACACGGCCGGUGCUAAAGGGGCCUACCCAAUGGCUACUGACUAGUGUUGUCGGAGCAGGGACCCUUUAGCACCGGUUCGUGUUACCAACUGGUGCUAAAGGGUUUGUUCAGUGCCACAGGCCGGGUCAAACCCUUUAGCACGGGUUCAAGGCACAAACCAUGCUAAAGGGUCACCUUUAGACUGGGUUUGUGCCUUGAAUCGGUGCUAAGGGGUCCGGUUUAUAGGCCACGGCUGCCUUGAAUCGGUGCCUUGAAUCACCAUUGUUGUUGCUAGAGCUUGCAUUUGUUCUUCUUGCUUGUUCUUGCUUGUUCUUCAUCUCCGGCGCCCAUCGUUGAUCUUCUUCGACUCCGUCAUCGUCUCUUCGUGCUUGGAGGUGACUAUCUUCAUCCUUCCUUUUCUUUUUCACGUUGUUUUUGGCUUGUGAUUUUCCCAUCAUUUUCAGCUCAAAUUCACUUGUUAUUUUGAAUCCUUCGCUUGAAUUAGUAUAUAUAUAUAUAUAUAUAUCAUAUUUCAUGGUUUACCUAUUAUUAAUGUAGUUUGCAAUAAUGAAUUAUAGUAUCUUUUUAAGUCUUUUUUUCUUUAUAUUAGAACAUGAGAGGAUUAGAGUUUAGUUAAUGUAUAUAGUUUACAAUAAUGAUCUUAGAUAGUUGGAUAGUUCAAAUUGAUAGGUUUUUAUUAGUACAUAAUAUCCAUUGUAUAAGUUAGAAAAAUUGUUGAAGUAGCUAGACAAAUAAAGGAUAUUAUUAGGUUCUUCUUUAAUCAUACUUGUUUACUAGAAAAUGUGGAAUUUGUAAUUAUUUAAAAAUUGAGUUUGGAUAGUAGAUGACAACCGUGACUGGGUCGUCGGUCUCUCAACAGGUUCAAAAGCGAUACCGGCCAGAACUCCCUCUCAUUACUUGCGGCAAGUGUGGGCAAAAGAUUGUGAUGGAGUACAAAGUGUCGAAAGAGGGAGUAAACAAGGGUCGUAUAUUCUACAAGUGUCUAGAUCGUAAUGUGAGUUAUUUCUAGACAUUUGCUUAUAUAUGUGCCUAUUUUUUUAAUGAUGUUACUUAAACUUUUGAUCCUCUCUUCUAAUUUCAGUGGGACGGUACCAGCAGAUGUACGGGUUGGUACUAGGAGGAAGAAUACAUUCAACACACAAGAAAUCUUUUGCACACACGGUUAAGGAUGAAGGUGAUGAGGCAGUGAGCCAGCGAAAGGAGUCCAUCGAUGUUGAUCAAGCGAAUGAUCUAUCUAUUAUAGUUGGGAUCGGAUGCGAACUAAUUAUGGUGCUUAAGUGCAUUUAGUUUUAGUUUUUUAGUGCUAGUUGCGAUUAUCUUAUUUGUAGCCAGGCUUGCUUGAAUUAAUCAACUAUGUGUGUUAGACAUGUUGUGCAAUAAGAUGAGAACCUAUAUAUGCAUGGUUUUCAUAAUAUAUAUGUUAUAUUUAAUGCAGAUGGUAACGUGCAAUUGGAUGUAUAAUGCCGAUCGGCGCUCCGAAGAGUUUAUUAAUGGCGUGCACUAUUUCUUAAGUGUGGCCGAGACAAACAAGAGGGACUAUUUCAUGUGCUGUCCAUGUGCCGUGUGCAAGAAUUUGACGUAAUAUUCUAACUCAAGGACUCUUCAUUCACACUUAUUAAAGUCUGGUUUCGUACCAAACUAUAUUUGUUGGACCAAGCGUGGAGAAAGCGGGAUUAUAAUGGAUGAGGGUGAAGAAGAAGAAUUGGACCACGCCGACAUUAUUGCUUAGUACGGUGGCUUCGAUGAUGUUGCAAUGGGGGGGAGAUGAUGAAGAAGAGGUAGCGGCAGAAGAUGAUCGAGGCGAUGAUGCUUUUGGUGAUGUCAUCCAUGAUGCACAAAGAGAAUGUGAAAGUGAGAAAGAGAAGAACAUGUUCGAGUGCAUACCAGAGGACCACAGGAAAUCGCAAUAUCCGGCCGCUGAAGAGGGGCAAAAAAAAGCUGGGUACCACACUAGAAUUGCUACAAUGGAAGGCAAAGAAUGGUACAUCUGAUAAGGCAUUUGAGACUGUUGUUUCACCAUAUUGACAAUGUUGUUACUUGGCUUGAGUCCCCCAGCUACAAGACCCUGAGUUCCACAUCCUAGAAGUUGACUUUACAUUGUCACUAUAUCCCCCACCACCAGCAUCCAUCUUUUGUUUCUCGUCCACACUCCGUAUUGUCUCCUUUGGUGGAUGCCGCCUCCCAGAUAUCAUGGUCAAUCAGCUCCAGUUCCCCAACCUCCAGCAGCUUACACUAUUUGAUGCUAUUAUAUCUGAAGAGACCCUGCAUGCCAUGCUUGAGAGUUGCCCCAAACUUGAGAUCUUGCUGAUGAAACGCAAUGAAGGUUUUCGCUAUGUUCAGAUCAAUUCCCGAUCCCUUAAGAGCAUAGGUGUUCAUACUGAUUCGUUUUGAGAAGGUCCCACUAUAGAGGAGCUCAUUAUUGAGGAUGCGCCAAUACUUGAGAGGCUUAUCAGUUUUGAGCGAUAUAGUAGGUUGCACAUAUCAGUGAUCUCAGCACCAAAGCUGGAAACCCUAGGCUGUACUUUUGAUAAUAAUGACAAGACAAUGCUCACUCUUGGAUCUACGACUUUUCUGGUAACAGAGCCCUCUCCCAAGUCCCAAUGUUCACACACUACUAGAGAAUAGGCCUUUGGUCACUUGCCCAAAAUGAACAAUAAUCUUGGCCCAAUCACCGUCCGGGACAAAAACAUAAUUAGUCCCGGUUGGUGAGACCAACCGGGACUAAAAGUCCUCUGCCCAACGGCUAUGGUGCCAGAGAUCGGCAGAAGGGACCUUUUAGUCCCGGUUGGUCUUCCCAACCGGAACAAAAGCCCAACCUUUAGUCCCGGUUGGUAACACCAACCGGGACUAAAAGUUGUUGUCCCGGUUCGUCUCACCGGCCGGGACUAAUGUUGGACUUUAGACCCGGUUUUUAAAUGGAACCAGGACUAAAUUUCCUUCCCCAUAUUUGAACUCUUCUUCUUCCCCUGGCCGAGCCCAUCGAUCUUCACUCUUUUGCUGUGUUCUUCAUUUGGAGUUGCUUGUUCUUGCACUCAUCUCCGGCUAUUGAUUCAUUUCAUCAUUUCUACGCCGUCAUCGACUUGUUAUAGGUGCGCGUUCCAUAAACUACCAGCAAACAAUACGCAUUCGAAAAUAACAAUAACAUAAUUGUAAACCCUAAAUGGAAAACCAAAUGAAAAGAAAAAGAAAAAAGAAAAAGUCUUUAGUCCUGGUUGGUAGCAACAACCGAGACUAAAAGUGGAGACCAUGUGGCACACCCUGGCGCACCUUUUAGUCCCGGUUUAUGUUACCAACCGGGACUAAAGAUGGGACAUUUAGUCCCGAAACCUUAGCCCCGGUUCCGUAGCCGGGACUAAAGGCCUUCACUGUACUAGUGACUUACAUGUUACUCAAGUUAUUUUUGAAAAUAAUUAUGAGCUCCCCCAUUGAUUUUUAUUUAGAGUAUUUUAUUUUAUAACUUUUUGUUUUGAUUCACUAACAAAAUGUUUUAUUUGACCAAGGGAAUACAUUCUAUUGACAUGAGAGCAAUGGUGCCAAUGCAUACUGUCAAGGUCUUAUCUGUGUUCCCUUUGUCUCUCUGUCUGGAUAAUGUUCUCAAUUUCAUUAGAUGUUUUCCGUGCCUAGAGAAGCUGUACAUCCAGCUGGUAAUGUCUCUUACUUCAAUAUACACAAAGAAAGUUAAUUUUGCUCUCCAUAAUGUCAUGGCUAACCUUGUCUGAUUUCUUGAUCUGAACUAAUAUUUCACACUCAUUUUAACUUGCAGUCUUGUGCACAAGGGCACACGAACCAGUGGCCCCGUAAACACAGGAAUCUUAUCAAAUCGCUUGACCUUUGCCUGAAAACAAUAGUGAUGAUAAAUUAUCAGGGCACAGCAGAACAAUCAGAAUUUGUGACAUUCUUUGUGGAGAAUGCAAGAAUGCUUGAGUCUAUGAGGUUUGUGGUCCCGAGUUGUUUCUAUCAUGACAAGAACUGGAUAAGAAGCCAGAAUAGACAGCUCAAGCUGGACAAGAGCUCUUACAGAGGUGUUUCAUUUACUUUCACUGAGAAUCAAUUCCACCACAAUAUGAUACAUGUUUUGCGGGCCAGUGAUCUGUCAGCAGCUGAUCCGUUUCACUGUAACUGCUGAAUCUGGCAUUCAUAUGAAAAUUGUCAUACACCUAAAAUAAUCUUGAUUGUUACUUUGCUUAAAAACCGCAUUGUAUUCCUUUUCAGAAAGACACCUUGUAAUCUCCUAUGCAAUUUGCAUAAAUGAUGCUUCAAACUUGUUGUGUUUUCAAUGUCAAUGCUGUAUCUGCAUUCAGUCAGUCUGAAAUUGGAAUUAAUUUUGUUAUGAAGAAAUAGUGUGCCUUGCAAUGGUAUGUGAUGAUCUUUGCUUGAGUUGCAUAUUGUCUCCUACUUUAUUUUUCUGUGAUGCAAAUGGCAUGGAGGUGGUACCAGCCUGACUACCAGGCUGGUAUCAAUAUAUAUCUUAGUUUGUUACUGGCCUUUGCAUGUCAAGUGGUUUUACUGGAAUUGACAUCUUUUAAUUUGGAAGUGUGCGUUUACAUAGUCUUUAUGCACAUUUAAAGCUACCACUUUUAAAGUGUGUUCCAGGUGAUUUCUUAGCAACCCCAUGUGCAUGGAAAGCUGAUAAGCUUCCAUGUAUAUUUGCUUGAAUUGAUAUUACACAUUUCUUGGUAUAAGAUGUGCUGAUAUGACUUUUGCUUGCUUUGUUUUGAUUUUUUUUCCUUUCUUUAUCUUGUUUCUUUAGUUAAAUGUGUACUUUGGUUCUUAUUCCGUUUAAUGCAACCAGCUCUUGUUUUCUAAAAAAAUUGCCACUCCAUCCAAGCCAUGGCAAUUGCAAUUAAUUGGGUUGGCCUCAACAAAGCUAGCUCUUUCCCUUGGAAAAUAACUAAAACAUACCCUAAAGCCACCAGACUGCGCCUUCUCUCUUGAGAAAGAAAACUAGAAGAGAGUGUCGAUCUCAUUUUGAUUAUGAAAGUACCUAGGCUUUCCUUUUCCUUUCUCAAGCUUCAAGUAGUCUCCUCUGUCUCCACUAUGCUAGUACAUUAUUUUCCUUCCAUUCCUGGAUUAAUCUUUUGGAUGAUACUUUAGAGGCGUUUGGUUCAGGUGAGAUGCACUGCUUCUCUGUGACCUGUUCUCUUCUUUUAGACACUAGGUUCUUCGCAAGUUUAGCACGACUUUGUACUGGAAUUAGGACGCAGCUCAUCACUUUGGUAUGUUCUUUUACUGCUUCCUUCUUUGAACUAUGAUAUGAUGUAGUUCUCUUCAUGUGAGGCUUUUUUGCUUCAACUUUACUUCAUUUUAUUUGGAUGCCAAGCUUGAGAUAAACCUUUCCCUUUGUGAUGCAUGGACUGCAGCAACAUUGCCAAGUUGUAUGAGUUUUAUUGCGACACAAAUAUAUACGCUCAUGAUAUGGCAAUUGAGAUUUGUACAAUAUGGAAGUCUAUGAAAGAAUCCUUGUCUUUCGUGGACUGCAAGAAUCUGAAUGCACAUCUAAUUAACGCUGUAAAGCACAGGAGUACAACCGAAUAAUAGAAACACUUCACUUCCGCUUGAUGAUCUUCAGUGACUUGUUGAUGUUGUUGCUUCCAUCAUCUUCAAUAAUUCCUGACAGCCUACAAAAUUAUCGACAUGCCUGGUGGGUCGUGGGCAGCAGGACAAGACUUCAACCUUGAAAUAGGUCCUUUUCUGUGGGUUGGUGAAAGAAUGUGAAUACCGGUAUGAAUGCUUGUCUUGCAUUGGGAUCCUUGUCGGUACAUAUAGAGUGUCUGCCUGCUUACAUGCUAGUAUGAAUGGCUGAGAGCAACCUAACCUAUCUAUAGCACUAAGACCAAGUACACUAGCCUAACCAUAGCACUAAGACUAGGUACACUCUAACAUCACCCUGCAGUCACAGCGGGAGCACCACAGACCGUGAGACUAGAGAAGAAGUCAAUGGACAUCUCCCCGUAGUCACAACUUGGCGCAAUGCAGACCCUAGGAUGUUCAAGGAAUUUCAAUGGGGCCUGGUGUUGUAUGCACAUGUUUGAUAACUGUGUAUAUUAAUGGUUUUAUGCAUUGGAUGAGGUUUUCCAAGAUAGUUGCUGUUGAUAUGUAGGAAAAGACAUGGAGGAAAAUUCAUAGGCCAUAUGGUAAAACAACAAUCUCCAUCCAUGAAACUCAGGGUCAGUUGUGUGCAUAUACUACUGCUAUGUAUCGGAGGUAUUAGCUUUCCUUCUGGGUCCGAGAAGACUAACAACAUUGAAGCAUACGAUGACCAUGCUUGAGAUAUUUGGACAGAGCACAAAUGAGUUUUGUUAGGAUCUUUGCGAUGUGGAGUAUAGAGUGAUUGCAGUUCACCUGAAAUGGAAUUUGAUUUUCUUAGCUGGCGAGGACAAAAAACUAAUUGCAUAUGACAUGAAACUCAGAAAAGUUCUUGUCCUCGCUACCCACUUCACGCGGAAUGGUAGACCUAGCUGCUUGCUAAGUCCGGAAGGACCUCAUUAUCUUGCUUUUGUUCCCGUGUUCAUGGAGUAGGUCGGACAAUAGUAAAGUUGCAUAUGGUGUUCUUUGUCAGGUGUGGAGUUGUUUUGAUUUUAUAUAGAAUAUAGUUUUUCCUUGGUAACUAAAGCAAUUUUAUGUUGAAUAUUAGAAAUGCUGCUACUUUGUGCAGGUUGUGGAAUCCGAGUGCUUCUAAACGAUAGAUUUUCCUACAAUGGCUAAGGGAUGAAGAAGAGGGGUUGCAUGGUGCACUGGCUAGAAAGCUGAAGGAAACUUUGCCUUACAAGGAGUGGUAAUCUGAAGGAGCAGAGCACAUCUACCUCGUCUUUGUUAUGUAAGUCAGUAGGGAGCAGAACCUUUAUUCUCCUAUCUAUGUACCGCUCCUGUUAAUUCUUGAGUUGACACGGUUGUUAUGUUAGUGUCACCUCUUAUUAUAAAAAGUACUCUUAUUGUUGUGGACAUGAUGAAUGGCGUUUAAUGUUUACAUCUGUAUGUUGUGUGUUCAGUAAGUUGUUAAGGCCCUAUCUGAAUUAGUAAAUAAACUAUGAAACCGGUUGCAAUUCUGUCACCAUCGGUUUUAUGGGACGUCGUCUGUUUUGUCAUCAUGCCGUAACGCUUGCCGUUAGUGAAGUAGACAGACGUCUCAUGUGGUAGGGAUCAAUAGUGCACCACACAUUCAAAUCAUACUGCAAUGCAACAGUGACCACCAGAUGGUUUAUACGCUGAAACCGAUGGUGAUGGCUACCUCAAAACAGAUGUUCGGGUGCCAAAGCGACGGUGAAUGUGCACUGGACACAAUCGGAUUAUUGGUCCAAACGUCAGUGUUAGUGUACACCAACAUAGGUGAGUUGAGUAACAACAUGAUGGAAAUAACGACCUAACUGAUCAUGGAUGAUGGCUCAUAAGCCAACAUGGGGGUGUUAGCAUACACUAACACGAGCAGAUCAUAAGACAAUGGGACAAUGUUGGCGUACACCAACAUAGGCGGGUCAUGCUUCAAUGGAAGGGAAACAACGACGUGAUCAAGGAUGGAUCAUAAACUGACACAUUGGUGUAGUAUAUGCAAACAACACCGGAUCGUGCUUCAAUGUGACUGAAGUAAGUUUCUUAUCACAGACGGAUCAUAAGCCAAAAUAGCGGUGCCGCCUAGUCGGUCCGUGGCUGCAUCGCUGAUAGCUACGACUUUCACAGCCGCUAAAUCACCAUCGAGGGCAAAAAGUGACCGCAAUGUGGGUUGCAAAAUGACCAUGAAGGUUGCGAGUAUAGUAGUGUGUUUCCUUGGAGGUUAUCAACCCUCAAGAAAAUUAAUUUACUUAGUGGCUGUUGACCCUCAAGAAAACUACCUUCCUUAGUGGUUGCAAUAUUUCCUUGGCCCUUUAGCAAAUUGAGUCUGGUUCUAAUUUCGUUGGCGGUUAGCCGAAAAAAAAUCAUCCUUGAGUGCCAGAGUCGUCAAGGAAACUUAUUUUCCUUAGCUUUCUAUCCUUGAGUGUGUUUACUUGACAGUUUGUGGUCAAGGAUCGUUUUCUUGGUGGUUUAACCUCUUUCAAACGUGUGCUUAGAUGUGAAGGUAUAACUAUAUAUAGAUGCUGCAUGUACACGUCGUCCACUAAUUUUGUUAAAAAAAUUAGUAUCUCAAGUUUGUUGAAAACAUCCUAUUGUCCACACGAUUUAAUCAGGGCAUAUAGAAAACAUUAUAUUUUAGAUGCUAUAAUCUAAAAUUUCUUUAUUAAUUAUACCGUUCAAACUAGAACAUUUAUUUUAAGACGACUGGAGUAUAUAUCGGCACCUAGCAUUGGCCUGAACCUAUGGAGACGAACGAAUGUUUAGCAUCACUGUCCAACUGUGAGAUUUCUAUGGACAUAGAUCUUUGUCUCCUCUUUGGCCUUGCAUGCACAUAACUUAGACGACGAAGUCACUUGGUGGAUACAAGGUGACCAACACUAUAUAUAUUAUAGUAGUGUGUGCUCAACACCACACACCACCUAGCUUCUCUUUCCAAAACCAUGGCGUGCACUGUCCUUUCAUUGCUAGACCACAUCUUGAUCACUGUAUUGCUCGUCCUCGCUCGCGACAUUAUCAUAGCCGGUGUUGGCAUAGCUCCACCUCCCACUCCUCUACCUCUUCCACGGCUACGUGCACCCUCUCUGACACCUCAUCCUCCCAGUCUUGGGUCUCCUCCUCGCACUCCUCUUCAUCCUCCCCCUCGGACAAGCGCUCCACCUCUAAAUCCUCUUCCUCGUCCAUGGUUGAGGGCACCUUCGCCAGGUCCUAUUCCUCCACGGCUAGGAGCUCCAACUCGUACUCCUAUUCUUCCUUCUCCUAAGGUAGGUGCUCCACCACCUACACCUAUUCCUCCUAUUCCUCGUUUUGGGGCUCCCUCCCGUGGUCCUAUCCUUCCACCCCCUCGAAAGGGUGUUCCACCUUCUACUACUCCACUUCCAGCACCACGAUUAGGGGCACCUCUCCCAUCCCGUCGUCCUUGUCGUCCACCUAGCGCUCCUAUACUUCCUCCUCGUCAGAAAGGCGCUCCACCUUCCACUCCUCCACUUCCUACACCAAAAUUAGGGGCACCCCUCCCAUCCGCUCCACUUCCUCCACCUCGUGCUCCUGUACUUCCUCCUCGUCAGAUGGGCACCCCACCUUCCCCUCCUCCACUACCUGCACCAAGAUUAGGGGCACCUCUCCCAUCCCCUCUUAAACCUCCAUCUCGUGCUCCUGUAGUUCCUCCCCGCCGAAAGCGCAAGCCACCUCCUACACCACGUUCUAAGGCACCCAUUCCAUCUCCUGUUAUUCCGCCCCCUCGAAAGGGCGCUCCACCUUCCCCUCUUCCACGACCCGCACCAAGAUUAGGGGCACCCCUCCCAUCCCCUCUUAAAGCUCCAUCUCGUGCUCCGGUACUUCCUCCCCGGCGAAAGCGCACCCCACCUCCUGCACGACGUUCUAAGGCACCCAUUCCACCUCCUGUUGUUCCUCGCCCUCGAAAGGGCAGUCCACCUUCCAGUCCAAUUCCUGCACCACGGUUGGGGGUACCCCUUCCAUCUCGUCCUCUUCUUCCCCCUCGCGGACCUACUUUUCCUUCACCUCGGAGGGGCACUCCGCCUUCCACUCCUCCACUUCCUACACCUCUUCUUCCUCUAGCUCGUGCUCCUUUAUAGAAAAUCUUUUGUCUAAGCAAUCGUGAAGGCAGCACCAAUCUCUUCUGAAACAAUAAGAUAGCAACAACAACAAUAUCUUCAUUGAACUCGUCAAAAUAGUUCUAGAAGCCAAAGAUUGAAUCUCAGCUGGAUGGGUUUGCGUUUGCUACAGUGCCAUAGGGUCCCAUCGGCCACAAGAAAAUCAUGUAAUAAAUACAACUAUUUUGUUUGUGGGGUGUGUAAUAAAUUGGUAAGCCUAGGCUUACCACUCCUAUGUAUUUCAACACUCCUUGCAAUAGGGAUUUGAUUUGCUCAAUUAGCCAUCAUGGAUCUGUUUGCAACUCAUCAUCCUUCUCUAUUUGUCAUUGUUUGUUCCUUCCUCGGUGUGUUUUUAUUUUAACACAUGGGCACACAAAGAAGCUGUCCAUUUCUUUUAAAGCAAGAAGAAUUUGCAAAACAGCCCCUUAGUUGGAAAAACUUGUACAUGACUAAAGUAGUGUAGAGAGAUGUUGGAAGAUAUAUUUGUUGGUUCUUUUCCAUCAAAAUUUUAGUUUCCCAUAAAA